rnacentral:lncRNA from 1 species
UCAAGGUGAAGGAGAUUAAGAAUGGUCGCCUCGCCAUGUUCUCAAUGUUCGGCUUCUUUGUCCAAGCUAUCGUCACGGGCAAGGGACCACUAGAGAACCUCGCUGACCACAUCUCUGACCCCAUCAACAACAACGCCUGGGCAUUCGCCACCAACUUUGUCCCCAGCAAGUAAGAUGUCUUGGAGAUUGUGCACGCCAUAAAGUGUGUUGUUGUGCAGUCUGAGUUGUACUACCAUGAUGUAAAUUAUGAGAAUGUGUGCAAAAGCAAUGCUAGGUUUGUCCAGCUUGAAUGUUGUGACUUGCAUCGAUCUGAUCGUUGUGACCACAAUCCACGAGAACAGAUAAAUAUUUCUGCUCGCGCUUAACUAGUUAUCCAUUAUCAUUAUGUGUGCAGAUCAACGACGCCUCAUAUGAUUGUGUAGGCUGGUCACGCUGGUGCAUUUGCGGGGUCGGAGCAAAGGAAACGCUAAUAUACAUUUUCAUAGAAGCUUCCAUCAAUACAACAAUGAGGAAGGAUCUCAAUUCAAUUGCAAGGGGCAUGGUUUUCUUUCAUUUAUUAAUUUUUGACAAAAGCAGUGUGGCCAAUUAUACCGCAUUAGUGAUUUUUCAUAUCUCGCUUCCAGCCCAACCAAGUGAUUCGGCUUACCGGUGUGGUCUAAAGUGAGAAGGCACUGUGUAACGGUCGGAAAUUGUCGAUUUAGUCGAGGAUUGGGGUGCGAGAGGCGGUGUCGCCGAUGCUGAUAUUGUGGUGGAUGGCAAAGAAUUGGAGGCGGAGAUGGGUGGGCGUCCACAUACACUAGUAGAAAACAGGGCUACCGUUCGCUGCUGGCCAGCCCAUUAGUCCCGGUUCUUCAAGAACCUGGACCAAUGGGGGGUAUUAGACCCGGUUCGUGAGCCCAGGGGGCCGGCCGGGGCCUCGUGGGCAUUGGUCCCGGUUCGUAUAGAACCAUUUGUCCCGGUUCGAGCCACGAACCGAGAUCAAUGGUCCUCGCUGCUGGCCCACAACCAUUUGUCCCGGUUCAUGGCAUGAAUCGGGAUAGAAGGGGUGGCUUUAGUCCCGGUUCAUGCCAUGAACCGGGACAAAUAACUUGCCUAUAUAUACCCACCGCCGUGGCAGAGCACUCCACAGUGCUCUGUUUUUUCAAUCCGGCGAGGAGAGGGCAUUUGGGUGCUCUAGUUCACCUCCUAUGCACAUGAGGUGUUCGAUGAAAUGCCUGAGCCACACUAGUUAAGCUUUCUCCUCUCGAAGCUCGACCUAGGAGCUUCAUUUUUUCCGAGAUUUGUCUAGAUUUAGGGUUCCGUCACGCCCUAUCCCCGUUUUCACCGUCGUUGAUCGCUCGCGCCGAUCUCGUCGCCGGCACCACCGUGGUGAGCCUCUUGUUCUUAUCUUCUUUAUGAUACUUGUCUGAUUUUCUUACUUUAGAUAGAUAUUUGUCUGAUUUUCUUAAUUUUGACACACAUAAUUGUAUGUAAUGCACGCAGAUGAACCGGCAAUGGAUGUAUGGUGAGAGACACACCUCCGAGUACAUUAAGGGCGUGCAUAUUUUUCUCGAAGUGGCUGAGGCAAACAAGCAAAAUGGUUUUAUGUGUUGUCCAUGCAGUAAAUGUGGGAAUGCGAAGUCUUACUCUGACCGGAAAAUCCUUCACACCCACCUGCUUUACAAGGGUUUCAUGCCACACUAUAAUGUUUGGACGAGGCACAAAGAAAUAGGGUUUAUGAUGGAAGACGGCGAAGAAGAAGAGGACGAUGACAACUAUGUGCCCCCUGAAUACGGUGAUGCUGCAACGGGGGGAGCUGCUGAAGAUCAAGAGGAACCAGACAAUGUGCCCGAUGAUGCUGCAACGGGGGAAGCUGCUGAAGAUCAAGAGAAACCAGACGAUGUGCCCGAUGAUGAUCUCCGUAGGGUCAUUGUCGAUGUAAGGACGCAAUGUGAAAGUCAAAAGGAGAAGUUGAAGUUCGAUCACAUGUUAGAGGAUCACAAAAAAAAGUUGUACCCCAAUUGUGAAGAUGGCAACACAAAGUUGGGUACCGUACUGGAAUUGCUGCAGUGGAAGGCAGAUAAUGAUGUGCCUGACAAAGGAUUUGAGAAGCUACUGAAAAUAUUGAAGAAGAAGCUUCCAAAGGAUAAUGAAUUGCGCGAUAGUACAUACGCAGCAAAGAAGGUAGUAUGCCCUCUAGGAUUGGAGGUGCAGAAGAUACAUGCAUGCCCUAAUGACUGUAUCCUCUACCGCGGUGCGUACGAGGAUUUGAACGCAUGCCCGGUAUGCGGUGCAUUGCAGUAUAAGAUCAGACGAGAUGACCCUGGUGAUGUUGACAGCCAGCCCCGCAGGAAGAGAGUUCCUGCGAAGGUAAUGUGGUAUGCUCCUAUACCACGGUUGAAACGACUGUUCAGAAACAAAGAGCAUGCCAAGUUGAUGGCACAGUGAGGAUCGUAAGAAAGACGGGAAGUUGAGAGCACCCGCUGACGGGUUGUAGUGGAGAAAAAUCGAGAGAGUACUGGGAUGAGUUUGCAUGUGACCCAAGGAACGUAUGAUUUGGUUUAAGCGCGGAAGCCAUUAAUCCUUUCGGGGAGCAGAGCAGCAAUCACAGCACCUGGCCCGUGACUCUAUAUAUGUAUAACCUUCCUCCUUGGAUGUGCAUGAAGCGGGACUUUAUUAUGAUGUCAGUUCUCAUCCAAGGCCCUAAGCAACCCGGCAACGACAUUGAUGUUUACCUAAGGCCAUUAGUUGAAGAACUUUUACAGCUGUGGAAUGGAAACGGUGUACGUGCGUCGGAUGAGCACAAACAGGAGGAAUUUAACCUGCACGCGUUGCUGUUUGUAACCAUCAACGAUUGGCCCGCUCUCAGUAACCUUUCAGGACAGACAAACAAGGGAUACCACGCAUGCACGCACUGUUUAGCUGACACCGAAAGUAUAUACCUGGGAAGCUGCAGGAAGAAUGUGUACCUGGGCCAUCGUUGAUUUCUUCCGACCAACCAUCAAUGUUGAAAGAAAGGCAAGCAUUUCAAAGGCGAGGCAGAUCACCGGAAGAAGCCCGCCAUGCAUACCGGUGAUCACGUACUUGCUAUGGUCAAUGAUUUACACGUAAUCUUUGGAAAGGGUCCCGACGGACUAGCUGUUCCGAGUGACGCAGGGGGACACGCACCCAUGUGGAAGAAGAAAUCUAUAUUUUGGGACCUACCCUACUGGAAAGACCUAGAGUUCCGCUCUUCGAUCGACGUGAUGCACGUGACGAAGAACCUUUGCGUCAACUUGCUAGGCUUCUUGGGCGUGUAUGAAAAGACAAAAGAUACAGCUGAGGCAUGGGAGGACCUGCAAUGUUUGCACGAAAAAGACGGGAUGCCUCCAAAGCAGUAUGAAGGUCCUGCCAGCUAUGCUCUUACCAAAGAAGAGAAGAAAAUCUUCUUUGAAUGCCUGCUUAGUAUGAAGGUCCUGACUGGCUUCUCAUCGAAUAUAAAGGGAAUAAUAAAUAUGGCAGAGAAAAAGUUUCAGAACCUAAAGUCUCAUGACUGCCACGUGAUUAUGAUGGAACUGCUUCCGGUUGCAUUGAAGGGGCUUCUACCGGAAAACGUCCGAUCAGCCAUUGUGAAGCUAUGUGCAUUCCUCAAUGCAAUCUCUCAGAAGGUGAUCGAUCCAGAAAUCAUACCAACGCUAAGGAGUGAUGUGGUGCAAUGUCUUGUCAGUUUCGAGCUGGUGUUCCCACCAUCCUUCUUUAAUAUCAUGACGCACGUCCUAGUACAUCUAGUUGACGAGAUUGUCAUUUUGGGCCCCGUAUUUCUACACAAUAUGUACCCCUUUGAGAGGUUCAUGGGAGUCCUAAAGAAAUACGUCCGUAACCGCGCUAGGCCAGAAGGAAGCAUCUCCAUGGGCCAUCGAACAGAGGAUGUCAUUGGGUUUUGUGUUGACUUCAUUCCUGACCUUAAGAAGAUAGGUCUCUCUAAAUCGCGGUAUGAGGGAAGACUGACUGGAAAAGGCACGCUUGGAGGGGAGACAAUAAUAUGCAGGGACGGAUAUUCUUGGUCUCAAGCACACUGCACAGUUCUACAGAACUCUACCUUGGUGACCCCUUAUGUCGAUGAACACAAGAACAGUUUGCGCUCCAAACACCCGGAGAAGUGCGACGACUGGAUUACAUGCGAACACGUCAUGACUUUCAGCAGUUGGUUGGAAAUACGUCUCAGAGAUGAAAACACUGUUUGUGAUGAGCUGUACUCGUUGUCCAGGGGACCAUCUUCGACUGUUAUGAUUUGGAAAGGAUACGAGAUAAAUGGGAAUACAUUUUACACGAUCGCCCAAGAUCAAAAUAGCACCAACCAAUACAGCGGUGUCCGCUUUGAUGCAGCCACCGAGAGGGGAAAGGACACAUAUGUUGGAAAUAUGCCCUAGAGGCAAUAAUAAAAGGAUUAUUAUUGUAUUUCCUUGUUCAUGAUAAUUGUCUAUUAUUCAUGCUAUAAUUGUGUUAUCCGGAAAUCGUAAUACAUGUGUGAAUACAUAGACCACAACAUGUCCCUAGUAAGCCUCUAGUUGACUAGCUCGUUGAUCAAUUGAUAGUCAUGGUUUCCAGACUAUGGACAUUGGAUGUCAUUGAUAACGGGAUCACAUCAUUGGGAGAAUGAUGUGAUGGACAAGACCCAAUCGUAAGCAUAGCACAAGAUCGUGUAGUUCGUUUGCUAGAGCUUUUCCAAUGUCAAGUAUCUUUUCCUUAGACCAUGAGAUCGUGUAACUUCCGGAUACUGUAGGAGUGCUUUGGGUGUACCAAACGUCACAACGUAACUGGGUGACUAUAAAAGUAUACUACGGAUAUCCCCGAAAGUAUCUGUUGGGUUGACACGGAUCGAGACUAGGAUUUGUCACUCCGUAUCACGGAGAGGUAUCUCUGGGCCCACUCGGUAAUGCAUCAUCAAAAUGAGCUCAAUGUGACCAAGUGUUUGGUCACAGGAUCAUGCAUUACGGUAUGAGUAAAGUGACUUGCCGGUAAUGAGAUUGAACGAGGUAUUGGGAUACCGACGAUCGAAUCUCGGGCAAGUAACGUAUCGAUUGACAAAGGGAAUUGUAUACGGGAUUACUUGAAUCCUCGACAUCGUGGUUCAUCCGAUGAGAUCAUCAUGGAACAUGUGGGAGCCAACAUGGGUAUCCAGAUCCCGCUGUUGGUUAUUGGCCGGAGAGCUGUCUCGGUCAUGUCUACGUGAUUCCCGAACCUGUAGGGUCUACACACUUAAGGUUCGGUGAUGCUAGGGUUGUAGAGAUAUUAGUAUGCAGUAACCCAAAAGUUGUUUGGAGUCCCGGAUGAGAUCCCGGACGUCAUGAGGAGUUUCGGAAUGGUCCGGAGGUGAAGAAUUGUAUAUAGAAAGUCCAGUUUCGGCCAUCGGGAAAGUUUCGGGGAUCACCGGUAUUGUACCGGGACCACCAGAAGGGUCUCGGGGGUCCACCGGGUAGGGCCACCUAUCCCGAAGGGCCCCGUUGGCUGAAUAGGGAAGGGAACCAGCCCCUGGUGGGCUGGUGCGCCCCCCUUGGGCCUCCCCUGCGCCUAGGGUUGGAAACCCUAGGGGUGGGGGGCGCCCCACUUGACUUGGGGGGCAAGUCCCCCUCCCCUAGGCCGCCGCCCCCCCUUUAGAUGGGAUCUCUAGGGGCCGGCGCACCCCCUAGGCCCCCUAUAUAAAUAGGGGGAGGGAGGGCAGCCGCACCCUAGUCCCUGGCGCCUCCCUCUUCCCCUAUACCACCUCUCCCUCUCGCUGAGCUUGGCGAAGCCCUGCCGAGAUCACCGCUGCUUCCACCACCACGCCGUCAUGCUACUGGAUAUCCAUCAACCUCUCCUUCCCCCUUGCUGGAUCAAGAAGGAGGAGAUGUCUUCCCCAACCGUACGUGUGUUGAACGCGGAGGUGAUGUCCGUUCAACACUAGGAUCUUCGGUGAUUUGGAUCACGACGAGUACGACUCCCUCAACCCCGUUCUCUUGAACGCUUCCGCUCGCGAUCUACAAGGGUAUGUAGAUGCACUCCUCUCUCUCGUUGCUAGAUGACACCAUAGAUUGAUCUUGGUGAAGCGUAGAAAUUUUUUAUUUUCUGCAACGUUCCCCAACAGUGGCAUCAUGAGCUAGGUCUAUGCGUAGUUUCUUUGCACGAGUAGAACACAAAUUUGUUGUGGGCGUAGAUGUUGUCAAUUUUCUUGCCACUACUAGUCUUAUCUUGUUUCGGCGGCAUCGUUGGAUGAAGUGGCCCGGACCGACCUUACAUGUACGCUUACGUGAGACAGGUUCCACCGACUGACAUGCACUAGUUGCAUAAGGUGGCUAGCGGAUGUCUGUCUCUCCCACUUUAGUCGGAUCGGAUUCGAUGAAAAGGGUCCUUAUGAAGGGUAAAUAGAAAUUGGCAUAUCACGUUGUGGCUUUUUACGUAGGUAAGAAACGUUCUUGCUAGAACCCUAUUGCAGCCAUGCAAAAACAUGCAACAACAAUUAGAGGACGUCUAACUUGUUUUUGCAGCAUAUGCCUUGUGAUGUGAUAUGGCCAAAAGGUUGUGAUGAAUGAUAUAUAUGUGAUGUAUGAGAUCACGUUCUUGUAAUAGGAAUCACGACUUGCAUGUUGAUGAGUAUGACAACCGGCAGGAGCCAUAGGAGUUGUCUUAAUUAUUGUAUGACCUGCGUGUCAAUGAAUAAACGCCAUGUAAUUACUUUACUUUAUUGCUAAACCGUUAGCCAUGGUAGUAGAAGUAAUAGUUGGCAAACAACUUCAUGGAGACACGAUGAUGGAGAUCAUGGUGUCAUGCCGGCGACGAAGAUGCUCAUGGCGCCCCGAAGAUGGAGAUCAAAGGAGUAAUAUGAUAUUGGCCAUAUCAUGUCACUAUUUGAUUGCAUGUGAUGUUUAUCAUGUUUUUGCAUCUUAUUUGCUUAGAACGACGGUAGUAAAUAAGAUGAUCCCUCGUAAUAAUUUCAAGAAAGUGUUCCCCCUAACUGUGCGCCGUUGCGAAAGUUCGUUGUUUCGAAGCACCACGUGAUGAUCGGGUGUGAUAGAUUUCAACGUCCACAUACAACGGGUGUAAGACAGAUUUACACAUGCAAAAUACUUAGGUUGACUUGACGAGCCUAGCAUGUACAGACAUGGCCUCGGAACAUAAGAGACCGAAAGGUCGAACAUGAGUCGUAUGGAAGAUACGAUCAACAUGGAGAUGUUCACCGAUGAUGACUAGUCCGUCUCACGUGAUGAUCGGACACGGUCUAGUUGAGUCGGAUCAUGUAUCACUUAGAUGACUAGAGGGAUGUCUAAUCUGAGUGGGAGUUCAUUAAAUAAUUUGAUUAGAUGAACUUAAUUAUCAUGAACUUAGUCUAAAAACUUUUGCAAAAUGUCUUGUAGAUCAAAUGGCCAACGCUUAUGUCAACCUCAACUUCAACGCGUUCCUAGAGAAAACCAAGCUGAAAGAUGUGGCAGCAACUAUAUGGACUGGGUCCGGAACCUGAGGAUCAUCCUCAUAGCUGCCAAGAAAGCAUAUGUCCUAGAAGCACCGUGAGUCAUAGCGCCUAGAUCCAGGUUCUAAAGAUCCGCAUCUGUGAGUCAUUUACUUUAAUCUAAAAUGUGCAGAUAUAAAUUAAAUAAAUAAAUUUACUUGUUAGUUGAAUGGCAAAUUAAGGUGUACCUACAUUUUUCAAGAAAAAAUGAAUAUAUCUAGUUUUAUGUAUGGAAUUUGGCUAAAAAAUGUGAUCUUUUACCACGGCCUAAUGGUACAUCCUAUUCUGAUUUUCUGAACGCUGAGGCCCUGUUUGGUUCGGCUGUUGAUUUCGAAAAGCAGCUGUGAAAAAUCUCUUGUGGAAAAACAACUAUGGAAAAUCUGACGUGAAAAAGAUGUAGAUCAUUUGGCAAACCAGCUGAUACAGCUUUUUUAGAUUUUGGCCCGUAGCGGAAUCGGAUUUUGGAAAGCAUGUCCUGGGCUGCUUUCGCUUUUGGUUCAGAUUUUGGCAGCGGAUUUCUGGAAUCGGAUUCUGCUGGGUUCACCCUUUGGUUCAGAUUCUGCUGCACGGCAACGGAAUCCAUCGAUAAAAGCUGAACCAAACAGGGCCGAAAGGAUACAUGAGGACAACAGCUAGCGGUGUGACGCUACGCGAUGCUUCGUAGUGUAGGUCUCACUCACACUUGAUCCAAUCAGCAGUCUCCAAGGAGAUACUAGUCACAGCCACUUCUAGCCACAAGCUCACAGCAACAUCAUUUCCUGGUUCUCGCUGCUCCAAGUGUUCUGACAAGAAGAGAUCUCUGCAGCACCAAUUGCAUCAAAGCUCAAGAUUUUUCUCCCUAUCCAUGUUUAUAUUGUAAAGCUUACACAUCCCCUCCUAUCAAGUCAUAUUCACACUCACGCCUCUCUUGGAGAACCCAUACAGCAGACUCCAGACAUAGCUCCCCAAUGGGGACGACCACCAUGUCCCUUUCCUCCUCGUCCUUUGCCGGUAAGAUGGUGAAGAACAUACCAUCGCCAGCUCUCUUCGGUGAGGCCCGCGUCACCAUGAGCAAGACUGCAGCGAAGGCGAAACAGGUUUCCUCUGGCAGCCCAUGCUACGGUGCCGACCGCGUGCUCUACCUCGGCCAACUCUCUGGUGAGCCCCCCAGCUACCUCACCGGUGAGUUCCCAGGCGAUUAUGGUUGGGACACAGCCGGACUUUCGGCUGACCCCGAGACCUUCUCCAAGAAUCAGGAGCUAGAAGUGAUCCACUAUCGUUGGGCCAUGCUUGGGGCACUUGGUUGCGUCUUCCCUGAGUUGCUCGCCCGCAAUGGCAUCAAGUUUGGUGAGGCCCUUUGGUUCAAGGCCGGCUCCCAGAUCUUUAGUGAGGGUGGUCUCGACUACCUCGGCAACCCUAGCCUUGUGCACACGCAAAACAUCCUAGCUAUUUGGGCAUGCCAGGUCGUGCUCAUGGGUGCCGUCGAGGGGUACCGCGUUGCCGAUGGCCCACUCGAUGAGAUCGUCGACCCAAUAUACCCAGGAGGCAGCUUCGACCCUCUCGGCCUAGCCGACGACCCCGAGGCAUUCGCCGAGCUCAAGGUGAAGGAGAUCAAGAACGGUCGCCUCGCCAUGUUCUCAAUGUUCGGCUUCUUUGUCCAAGCUAUCGUCACGGGCAAGGGCCCACUUGAGAACCUCGCUGACCACAUCGCUGACCCAGUCAACAACAACGCAUGGGCGUUUGCCACCAACUUUGUCCCUGGCAAGUAAGAUGUCUUAGAGAUUGUGCACACCACAAAGCAUGUUGUUGUGCGGUUUAAGUUGUACUACCAUGAUGUAUAUUACGAGAAUUUUGUGCGAAAACAAUGCAAAAUUUGUCCGCUUUCAAUGUUGUGACUUGCAAGAUUUGUCGGCCUCGCUGAAACAAAUAAGUACUUUGUCAUGCGCUUAAUUAACUAUUACUUCCUGGCUUCGGAAUUACUUGUCACUCAAAUGGAUAAUUCCGGACGGACGGAUGUGUCUGACACUAAAAUACAUCCGUUUAAGCCCCAAGUAAUUUUUGAUAGAGGAAGUAUCAUAUUGUUCUCAGAUGAUUGACAACUUAUAGGAUCGUGUGUGUCGUUAAAUUUGUGGAGCCUGAACGAGGAAAACACUAGUAUAUAUAUUUUUCAUUGAAGAUUUCGGUUUCGUGUUUACUCUCCACGCCUUUGAUCAAGGCAACCAUCUGAAGUGAUCUCUAUUCAUCUCGCUCAGUUGCAAGGGCCAUGAUUUAUUUUCAUUUCAUAAUUUGCAACAAAACAGAGUGUGUCCAAUUAUAUUGCAUCAAUGAUUUUUUGGAUCUAUCUGCAUUUUUUACUUUAUGAUUUGGACAAUUUAGAGACACAUACACAUUGAUGUAGUAAACAAUAAUGGUUGUCUCGCCACGUUUGGCUUCUAUGCGCACAUGCCAUCGUCACACGGGAAAGCAUUGUUAGAUUUCUCCAUCGAAGAAGUACCUCCGUGCUAUUACUUCAAAUUUAUCAAACCUGUCAUAAAAGCACCCAUUGUUUCUUUCUUAGUUAAUCCAAAGAUGAAUGCAAGUUGGUCUAUUGUAUAUGAAGCCAAAUUAAGCCCGGUCCAAACCUGACAGCUACAACAUCACUGCAUCCUAUACGAUCAUCCCCAUGUCCCAUGUCAUAAUCACCACUUUCGGCUGUUGUUUCGCUGCCCCUAAACCUACUAGGCUAUUCUUUCAGCAAAUGCAAAUCAACUAAGAACUACCGAACUCCUAGAUGUGUGAUGCGGUUCUUAAACCAAUCAUGUUAUUUUCUUACCCAAUUUCACCACACAACUAAUAUUGAUCGUUUUCACCCGAUACAUUGCCUCAAUCAUAGCAUGUGCCAUCAAUAAGAGAGAGUCCAAUAUGGUAUCCACCCCAACUAAUUGAUCUCCCCCAAACUCAACCACCCAUAGCAAAUCCUUCACCCUCCUUUGUCUCCAUUAUAUAUUUCAAGCACCCCUCCUUGCUAUCACAGGAAAACCCUCCCCAAAGCCCACCAUGGCCCAGAGCCAUGUGGUUCGACUCACCACCGGAUGUUGUUGCCUAAAUUGAGAAGACAGUGUCACUGUGGGGAGGUAAUCGAUUUAGUUGAGGAGCGGGAUGCGAGAAGGCAGGCAUCGAUGCUAUGAAAUUGUGGUGGGUGGCAAAUUAUUGGAGCCGGCGAUGGGUGGACAUCCACCUAUAGAUCAACACGGCAAUCUCUAUUUUGUGCUCAUUUAAUUUCAAACAAAAUAAGAACUAUUGUUAUUCUUCGGAAAUCAUAUAGGAGUACAUAGACAUUAAAAUGUACUUUUACAAAAGAUAGCUAUCAUAAAUUUUGCACAAUAUAAAUGUUGUUGCAUGAUCAUCAUCAAAACAGAAAGAUAGGGCGGCAUUAGAAUCAACCACACGCCAAGAUUUGCCUUUUAGAGAACUACAACUUGUAUUUAUUUAUCAGAUUCCUGUCCAACUUUAAGAUCUAAAUAUACAAAAAUCAAACAUACAUAAUUAUAAGUGAAAAUUAUAGGGUUAAUUAUCCUUUUGCCCUCAGUGGUGUCCAUGUGCUCAGUUUUGCCCUCAGUUGCGAAUUGUGCUCAGUUUUGCCCCUAGUCCAUGCGCAGCUACUAUGACGAGGCCAAACGGCCAUAUUUUAGUCCAUUCCGUCCGCCGGCGUUAGUGGUAGCGUGGGUCCGGAGCAUACACGUGGGACCGUGUGGACGUGGGUUCGGAGCUGACAUGUGGGACCGUGCAAAAAAAAUCCCCAAAUCAAUCCUAGGGUUCUAAUAACCUGCCAACUCGACGUGCCCACUCUGUCCCGUCCGCCGGAUGGCCGUCCCGCGCCGCCGCCAGCACCUACGCCGCCACCAGCUGCACUACCGCGGUCGUGGCCGCGGCCGUCCUGAUCCACCACUACCUGCGGCGCCCGCCACCUUCCUGCGACGCCACGGGUGGGGCGCCCGCCACCUGCUCGACCCGCGCCGCGGCCUCCUUCCGUGCGUCCGGCCAGAGCGCUAAUAGGUGGGGGGCUGGUGGAGCUGUUUAAAGCACGAGGGUGCACCCCAGGGCGAAAUGGCGAGCAGCGGCGACCCCGGAGUAUUUGGCGAUGCAUGCAUCAUCAGGCCAUAGAUACGCCGUGUCCACGAGGGGUAAGUCACGCCUCCUAUUUAGAUUGAGCUUAGUUGUGCAUUUGAGCAGUCGAUUUGAGUUGGUUUGCCCGGUUAGUGUGCUGAUUGCGUCUCUGUUUUUCGUCGGUUAGGAUGGAGUUGCGGUUUGCGUUCUUGGUGCACAUUAGAAGGGACAGGUACAUGUUGAAUGCAAAGAUUAAGAAGAAAUUCCAAGGAGGUUUCGAUUAUCGGUUGCCAAUGGCUUGUAAUUGGAGUUUCAGACAAUUUGGGGAGGUAAUUUGUAGUCAAUAUCCUUGGGGUUUGCUUGAUGAAGUGGAAUACAAAUACUAUGAUGGGAAAAGAGAUGGGUGACAGUUAGUAAUGAUGAAGAGUUGGCUAUCAUGUUUGCUAGGCAUAAGGAGAAAGAGAAUUUUCAUGUGAGGCUGCAAAUUGAUGUGAUUGAGCAGGCAUUUGGACCUAGGAUGGCUAGUGCAACAUCUCGGGGAGAACCAAGUCGUCGUAAUGGCAGCUCUAGCCAGAACAGUUCAGUUGGUGCACGACAACGUGGUGGCUCGACAAGCGUGGGCACCGGCAGUAGGCCCCCCCUUGAAGUGGAGCCUGAUUCCUACAAUUCUGGGGUUGAUGAAGAGAAUCUAUAUUCUGAUGUUAUUCAGAAUUUACGAUGGGCACCUCGGGCUGAAAACCAAGAUGAGGCUCAGAAUGCGGUCCGUGUGGAUGACGACGCGGUGGGUGAAGACGAAGACCUUGCAGUUGUUGAAUAGGACCCUUUGAUCCCUCAUACGGAAGAAGGUACCAUUUUUGCAUCCAUGACUGAGUGUAGAAAUGCACUUGUGACAUACUGCAUCAAGGUAGAACAUACUUUCAAAGUUGACAAGAGCGAUCAAGUACAUUACAGAGUGCACUGCCUGACUGAGGGUUGUCCAUGGAGGAUGCUCGCAUCUAAAAUGCGAAGUAGCACGAAUUUUCAGGUUAAAGUGAACCCUUUCAGGCACACAUGCCAGGAAUCAACCCUUAGGAAGGAUACAGUCAGUAGAGCAAAGUCAAGAUGGGUGGCAGAAGAAGUAAAGAAGUAGGUGAAAGAAAACCAGCAAGUGGGUCCAAAGGAAUUGCAGAAGAACAUCAAAGACAAGUUCAAGAUAGAUUUACCAUACAUAAGGUUAUUCAAUGGUAAACAACAUGCUACGAAUUCUAUUUAUGGUAACUGGCAGGAAAGUUUUCAAUUGUUGUAUGCAUUCAAAGGUGAAGUGGAGAGGACCCGCCCAGGUAGUAUUUUAGAUAUUGACCACCACACCUUGGAGUACACAUUCAGGGGUGUGACAAAGACGAAGGAAUGCUUUAGGAGGGUUUUUGUCUGCUUUGAGGCUUGUCGCCACGGUUUUUUGGCAGGCUGCAGGCCUUAUUUGGCUAUUGAUGCUACUUUUCUCGCAGUGAGGUUUAAGGGAUAGUUAGUAGAAACUUGUGCAGUUGAUGCACACAGUUUUGUAUUUCCAGUUGCGUACGGUGUGCUGGAGACAGAGUCUGAGGAGAGCUGGACUUGGUUUUUGCAUAAUCUGCGCUGGGCUAUUGCACAUCCCAAUGGGUUGGUAAUUCAUACAGAUGCCUGCAAAGGUUUAGAAGUGGUCGUUGACAAUGUGUUCCCUAGAAUAGAGCAUAGAGAAUGCAUGCGUCCCCUUGCUGCAAAUUUUGUGAAGAAAUUUAAAGGAAAGGUGUAUACCGAUAAUUUAUGGCCAGCAUCUUUGACUUGCAGUAUGAAGAAGCACAACUACCACUUGAGGCAGUUAUACAUGAAUCCCAAAGUGAAAGAAUACUUGGAAACACACCACUCCAAGUUAUGGGUCAGAAGCCAAUUCAGUGAACUAAGCAAAGUUGACUAUGUGCACAAUAAUCUAGCAGAGUAUUUCAACUCAACGAUACGGAAACUAAAGGGUCAUUAUGUGGUGGAUUUGCUUGACAGGAUAAUGAUAGAAUACAUGCAGAAAUUUCAUUAUCGUGCAGGAAUAGCCAAGGCAAAAUUCAUGAGCCACAUUAUCAUCCCUGCCGUGAUGAAUGAAUUGAAGCAGAAAACAACAGGCUUGGAAAUGAACAUGACUCUUUGCUCGGGUACCACAAUAGAGAUAUCAUAUUUGGAUAAAGAGAAGAGUGAAUGGGGAUAUCCAGUGGAUUUAAAAGAUAGAACUUGCAGUUGUAGGCAAUGGCAGAUAACUGGGUUGCCAUGCAUUCAUGCCUUGUUUUUCAUCACUUCUCUCCCAGGUCCAGCAAGGAACGUAAAACAGUAUGUGCAUGAUUACUACUCUAUUGCAAGGUUCAAGGCCACAUAUGCAUAUGCCUUGCCUGCUAUGGAAGGAAAACAACAAUGGGACAUUGUGGACCCUGGAUUCAAGCUUUGCGCUCCAGUUCUGAAGAGAGCAGCAGGUAGACCAAGGAAGAGUCGAAUCAGACCUCGCAGCGAAGAGCUGGACUUGGAGCAAGGAAGCGUAAGUGCACAAGGUGUGGUGGGUCUGGUCAUUUCGGUAAUUAUUGUGAUAACAUAGUAGAUCCAACGUUCGGAGAGAGUUUCGAUGAAGGCUUCGAUGAAAAUGUUGCUCAGCAGCCAGUUGCCUCAAUAGAUGAUGAAAUUGAAGAUCAACAGCCAGUUGCAUCAGAUGAGGAUUUUGACAAGGUUCCAAAUGAUGAUGGUCAACAGCCGCAUGAUUUUGACGAUGAUCCAAAAUAUCCUCCAAAUGAUGAUUCAGGUGAGGCUCCAAAUGGUGAUCCAAAUGAGGCUCCAAAUGUGAUCCAAGUGAGGCUCCAAAUGGUGACCAACCUUCUAUUGUUGUGAGUUCUGCUAGGUAUGUAAAUCUUUUAAAUACUAUUGUACAUUUAUCACUUGACAUUAUAUCACUACCCUUUAUGUUUUGCACAGCUCUGCAGUAGGUUUGAAGAAGACGCGCAAGGUACCGACAACCAAGAGGAGAAGAGAAGAAGUAGUGUGCACAAGAUGCACGAGGAGCAAAGUGAUGUCAAGAAGCUCAAGGAACAAACAGAAGCUCCAACACUAUUUAUGAAUAAUUAUUAAACAUUAUGAAUAAUAUUGUAUUUCUGUUGAGUGAUGUUGGACCUAUGUUAGAACUAUGUUUGAAUGAUGUUGGACCUAUGUUAGAACUUCAAAUUUGACAUGCUAUAUGGAUGUUGUAAUUCUUUCAAAACUUUGGUAAACUCACAUUCAUGGAAAAUGUGCUAAAAAGAGCUCCAAAGGUUGGGUAAACGGCCUUAUUUCUAAGCAAGAUUUUUUUGACCUUGUCUAGAUGAGCCAAAUAACUAUCCUACACAUAUAUUCUAUAUACACAAACAAUGUGCGCUGGUUUUUCCUUUUUUUUAUUGUUUAUUGUUUAUUUUGUUUUGCUCAUUUGAAUUUUGGUCAAACCUAACUUUGACCAAGAUUUAAACAAGUCUAAAAUAUCAAAAUGAAAAACUAAGCCUGGAUCCUUCUUAGUCACUCCAAAAUGAAGCUGUGGUGAUGUUUUUGAAAUUUUCACGAAAAAUGUGCUAAAAAAGAGGAGUCCAAAGGUAGGGUAAAUGGCCUCAUUUCUAAGAAAGGUUUUUUUCGACCUUGUCUAAAUCAGCCAAAUACCUUUCCUACACAUAUAUUCUAUAUAUACAGACUAUGUGCGCUGGUUUUUCCAUUUUUUGAUUUUUUUUUAAAUUUUGCUCAUUUGAAUUCUGGUCAAACCUAACUUUGACCAAGAUUUAAACAACUCUAAAAUAUCAAUGAAAAACUAAGCCUGGAUCCUUCUUAGUCACUCCAAAAUGAAGUUGUGGUGAGUUUUUUUUUUUUGAAAUUUUCAUGUUCAUUUCCCCAAAACACUUCUCUUCACUUCAUUAGAGUUUGAGAUACUUGAGAUAUCACAUAAUACACAUGAACUUUUCCUUUAAAUGUAUGUAAACCUUGUUUAUCAACAUAAAUCCCUAGUAUAUGACAUAAGAAGACUAUGUGCGCAGAUUUUUCAUUUUUCUAAUUUUCAUUUAAUUUAUUAUGCUCAUUUGAAAUCUGGUCAAACCUAUAUUUGACUGCUCCAAACCCCUCCCAAACCCCGCUAACCCUAGCGCUGAACAGGGACCGUCCAUCUAACCCUAGCGGCGAUCAAGGACCAUCGAUCUAAACCUUCUAGAAGAUAUCUGCGGGGAGGAGGGGGCGAUCCACGAGAUGAAAUCUGAUUGGCUAGGCUAUUUUUUUUCUCAACACGUAUCGGGGGCGCUGGAUAGACCGUUGGCCUGCCUCUUUGUCUGGGCCUGAGCGCAUUUAAUUGCCCAUUUCAGCCUUUCCAAGCCUACAUGCAUGGGAAGGGCGGCGACGUCGGGAGGCGGACGUGCAUGCAUGCGAGCGAGGCGAGCGACGUGGCCAUGCACGUAUUGAUUCAGAAUUGCAUUGUUUCAGAUAACGGCAGUGAGUCAGAUGCACGCGCCCGGUCAAAGAGCUCCAUGUGGUGAUUCAGAUGCACGCACGCGCCCCAUGCAUCAUUUCCGUGCCAAAAUUUAAGGGUUCAUAACUUAAAGGAUACACACACGCGUCCGGAUUCACACACGUACCGUUCUAAUCCCUUGUUUCUUCAUCUCCCUCCCACAGGCCUAUUUAUAUGGGGUGUCUCUCUUCCUCUCCCACUCGCCAUCCAAAAGUCAGAUCCAUUCUCUCCAACUUCAAACACCCAAGCGACCGAUCCCUCCAAGCGACCAAGUGAAGAUGCAGUACAAUGGGCCGACCUUCCUUCGACCACCUGUCGUGUCGGAGCUGCGCUACCCACUGGGCGUGCUCGUGGAGAGGGAGCUCCGUGUGUGGGCGACAUCAAGGUGGAGGGGGUCCGUCGACCUCACCCGCGCCUUCCUCGGAGUCGGCUAUGCCCACCUCCCACGGGGCUCGCCUAGGAUGUACACCAUCAACGAGGUUCGUGACCACACCGGCAUCCUCCUACUGCUCACAGUCACCUUCACCAACCCGUUUGACGCGCGCGAGCUCCUAGGCCAAGUGUUUUGGUGCGGCUGCGAGUCCAUCUUCACGAUGUACAACAUCUUCACCAACUACGAGUGCAUCUUCCCCACUGAAAACCAGAUGCACUCCCUUCCCUACGACGAUGAGGAGGAAUGAAGUUGAAGACGGUGUUGAAGGGGCGCGCGACCAAGGUGGAAGAAAGGUCAAGAUGAAGAUGUUCAAGAAGGGGUGCGAGCCCGGAGUGAAGUUUGUUCGUCAAGCUCGUCAUGUUUUAGUUUUAUCGUUUUUAUUUUGUUGCUUUUCUAUGUCGUGCGUGCCGUGUCGUGUCCCUGGACUAUGUAGGGUACCCAUCUAUGUAAGGGUACGUGUGUUGCAUCUUAUCUAUCCAAGUUAUUAUGUAUGUUCAAAAAUGUUCGUGCCCAAACAUGCGCAUUUCUUCCGUAAACCAAGUCAUGAAGUAACGUGCAUAUUUAUUCCCUUUAAAUCCUAAACCAAGUGCCACUCUAACCAGAAUCAUGUGGCAGUGCAAGCAUACGUUUCCAACCCUUCAAAAUUUCAGUUCAAAACAAAAGAAAACCACUCUCACGCGUGUGUAAAUAUUCAGUACAAACGUGUGUUUUUAAACCCUAAACCAAGUAACGGUCUCACUAUUUAUAGCUUCCUUCCCUAGGCAUGUCAAAGUCUUUCUAUCUACCCUAGCGGUUACCAGCGCAGCCCUAAACGCCACAAACCCACGCGGUCUUGGGUUCAAGUCCCAGCUGCACCAAUUUUUUGCUCUUAAAUAUUUAACAGCUUCAAAAGAAUUCUAAACUUAAUUGGCUCUCGAAUAAUUCAAUUAGCUUCCACAAAAAGUUUUAGCAUUAAAUAAAAUGAUUUACUGCCUAAAUUUCAUUGAUUUCUGAAUUUCUCAUUUCUUCUCCCUUUUUUUAACAUUUUUAAAUGUUGGUCAUUUCUUCUCUUUUUCAACAUUUAAACAACUUUGACCAACAUUUAAAAAAGGUGAAUUUCUCAUACAAUUUCAAGCUUAUAAAUUCUUCCAUAAUUCAUGCCUUUCCAUACAAUUUCAACAUUACACCCAGUGCGAUUACCAUAGCUAUAAAUGCCCAAAAGAAAUUGUAAAUGGGUAUUUGUGCUUGAUCUUCAAGCUUCCUAACCUUCUUCUUCAACAUCCUAAGCUCAACAGCAACAGCUAGCUCUCUGUCAGUGUGUGCUUCGCCCUCCAUCUCUUCUUCCGGAGCUCGUGUUGCGGCCACUGUCGUUCGGGGCAGCAUGCGCAACCAUUCUUCAUACUCUUCUUGCAGUUCAUUCAUCAGAGUCUUGGCCAAAGCAUCGACUCAAAGGAAGAAACAUUUCACCUGCAUGAACGCCAAACAGAUGAACCCAUUGCUCAAAGAUCCCGAUCAAGAAAAUGGUGCAAAUGCCCCGAUUCUUACCCCAUUCUCCCUGCACACGUAGAACGGACGAUUCUUGUUCCUCGGUGUGUGAGAAAUCCUCCGAUCAACGGCCCACCGACACCGUGGACAGACGAAGAUAGGCAUCUCCACGCGCGCCGGGUUCUGCAUCCAUGAGGUGGUGCGGGAGCUUGAAGAAGACAUGGAGCUCGGAGCCGAAGGGGAUCUCAACGCCGCCGCGCCCUCCACAGCUAUCUUCCAACCGCCUCUCUCUCUAUCGCUAUGGUCACCACCGUGUUGUGUGUCGCCCGCUCUCCCUAUCGCCGUGGUCACCGCGUGCCGCUCUCUGUCGCCUGCUUAUAUAGCACACCCGCAACGGCUCUCUGCUCAACGGCUCUUUGCUGGGUCCCACAAGCUGCGCGUGCACCGGUCUAAUCGUCUAGCGCGUCUCUGCCGCCUGGUCCCACCUGUAAGGGCUGAGUCAAAAGGUUGACCUGACGGAGACGCCAGUUUUCACGGAACGAGUUGGUGUGGGCACACUAGGGGCAAAACUGAACACAAUUCGCAAUUGAGGGCAAAACUGAGCAAAUGGACACGACUGAGGGCAAAAGGAUAAUUAACCCAAAAUUAUAAGCAUGUUGAUGAAAUUGAAUAAGCAUUCAGAUUUCGAAGUAUGUGAAUAUAUAUUGCAAUAUAGUGAAACAAUAAUAGUAUGCAUAAUUAGAUGCAUGCAAUUUAUUUGGAGUCAUCUAGGCUCAGAUUAAAAACGAAGUUAUAGAUGUGUGUGUUAUCCCAUAAAUUUGGGAAAAUGAAAUCUUAAACUAACAUUAGUUUCACCUAGAAGUAAUAGUCUCCGUCAUUUCAUUUUUCCCAAUUUAUGUGGUAAUGUCAGGCACUCCAUUUUUUCUUUUCGAGAUUACAAUGAAAGGAGAAGCAUUUUCUUUCAAGGUUAAAAUUAGUAGUCUUGUUUUUUUACCAAACGUGAUAUUUUUGUUUCUAUGGCAGCAUAAUGAGUCUCUACUUUAAUUUAAUUCGGGAAUAAACUAAUUUACUUAUCAGUAGAAUGUCAAUUAAAUGGACCUACAAUCUUCAUUAGAGUAAAAAUGGGUAUACCUAGCUUUAUGUAUGGACUUUGCCCAAUAAUGUGAUCUUUUACUAGGAUGAGAUGGUACAUCCUAUUUUGAUUUUCAGAAAGCUAAAAGAUUCGUGAGGACAACAGCUCACCAGAGUGCGCGCGGUAUAACGUUGCGCGAUGCUUUCUCGUGCAUGCCAACCUGCAGAUCUCACUCAUACACUUGAUCCAAUCAGCUGUCUCCAAGGAGAUCCUAGUCACAGCUACUUAUAGCCACAAGCUCACGGCGAUAACAUUUCCUGGCUCCCAUUGCGCCAAGUGUUCUGAGAACAAGAGAUUGGUGCAGCACCAAUGGCAUCGAAGCUGCAGAUUUUUCUCCCUAUCCAUCUUUGUGUUGUCAGCUUACACACCAAAUCGAUGCGCUAUGCCACGUCCGUUGCCAUAAGUAGCCACCUUCCCUCUCAUAUCAAGGCAUCUCCACACUCACUCAUCUCUUGUAGAACCCAUACAGCCGACACUUUGCUCAGCCUUCCAAUGGCGACCACCACCAUGUCCCUCUCCUCCUCGACCUUUGCCGGCAAGGCGGCGAAGAACGUGUCGUCAUCGGCUCUCUUCGGUGAAGCCCGCGUCACCAUGAGCAAGACUGCGGCGAAGGCGAAACAGAUUUCCUCUGGCAGCCCAUGGUACGGCGCCGACCAUGUGUUGUACCUCGGCCCACUCUCCGGUGAGCCCCCGAGCUACCUCACGGGUGAGUUCACUGGUGAUUAUGGUUAGGACACUGCCGGACUUUCAGCUGACCCGGAGACCUUCUCCAAGAACCGGGAGCUAGAGGUGAUCCACUGUUGUUGGGCCAUGCUUGGGGCACUUGGUUGCGUUUUCCCUGGCCCGCAAUGGCGUCAAGUUUGGCGAGGCCGUUUGGUUCAAGGCCGGCUCCCAGAUCUUUAGUGAGGGUGGUCUCGACUACCUCGGCAACCCCAGCCUUGUGCACGCGCAAAGCAUCCUAACUAUUUGGGCAUGCCAGGUCGUGCUCAUGGGUGCCGUCGAGGGGUACUGCAUUGUCAGCGGCCCACUCGGUGAGAUCGUCGACCCACUAUACCCAGCAGGCAGCUUCGACCCUCUCGUUCUAGCCGACGACCCCGAGGCGUUCGCCGAGCUCAAGGUGAAGGAGAUCAAGAACGGGCGCCUCGCCAUGUUCUCAAUGUCCGGCUUCUUUGUCCAAGCUAUCGUCACGGGCAAGGGCCCACUUGAGAACCUCGCUGACCACAUCGCUGACCCAGUCAACAACAACGCAUGGGCGUUUGCCACCAACUUUGUCCCCGGCAAGUAAGAUGUCUUAAAGAUUGUGCAUACCACGGAGCAUGUUGUUGUGUGGUUUGAGUUGUACUACCCACGAUGUAUAUUAUGAGAAUUUUGUGCGAAAACAGUGCAAGAUUUGUCCGCCUUCAUUGUUGUGACUUGCAAGAUUUGUCGGCCUCGCUGAAACAAAUAAAUACUUUGUCACGUGCUUAAUUAACUAUUACUUCCUGGGUUCGGAAUUACUUGUCACUCAAAGGGCGGACAGACGGAUGUGUCUGGCACUAAAAUACAUCCGUUUGAGCCACAAGUAAAUUUCUGAUAGAGGAAGUAUCAUAUUAUGCUCAGAUGAGUGACAACUUAUAGGAUCGUGUGUGUCCUUAAAUUUGUGGAGCCUGAACGAGGGAAACACUAGUAUAUAUAUUUUUCAUUGAAGAUUUCGGUUUCGUGUUUACUCUCCAUGCCUUUGAUCAAGGCAACCAUCUGAAGUGAUCUCUAUUCAUCUCGCUCAGUUGCAAGGGCCAUGAUUUAUUUUCUUUUCAUAAUUUACAACAAAACAGAGUGUGUCCAAUUAUACUGCAUCAAUGAUUUUGUGGAACUGUCUGCAUUUUUUACUUUAUGAUUUGGACAAUUUAAAGACACAUACACAUUGAUCUAGUAAUCAAUAAUGGUUGUCUCGCCACGUUUUCAUUUUAUUACUUCAAAUUUAUCAAACCUGUCAUAAAAGCACCCAUUGUUACUUUCUUAGUUAAUCCAAAGAUGAAUGCAAGUAGGUCUAUAGUAUAUGAAGCCAAAUUAAGCCCGGUCCAAACCUGACAGCUAGAACAUCAUUGCAUCAUAUAUGAUCAUCCCCAUGUCACAUGUCAUGAUCACCACUUUUGCCUGAUGUUUUGCUGCCCCUAAACCUACCAUACUAUUCUUUCAGCAAAUGCAAAUCAACUACCAAACUCCUAGAUGUUUUUAUGUUGAUGCAGUGCUUGAACCAAUCAUGUUAUUAUCAUACCCAAUUUCACCACACAACUAAUGUUGAUCGUUUUCACCCGAUACAUUGCCUCAAUCAUAGCAUGUAACAUCAAUAAGAGAGAGUCCAAUAUGGUAUCUACCCCAACUAAUUGCCCUCCCCCAAACCCAACCACCCGUAGCAAAGCCUUCAACCUCCUUUGUCUCCAGUAUAUAUUUCAAGCACCCGCUCCUUGCUAUCAUAAAAAAAAAGCGAUGCUACACACACACAACAGAUAUUGGACGAUCACCGCACGACGCUACACAUCAAGUCGUCCAUGCAUUAGAGCAAAAGUAGAUAGCACAGUUCAUUCUUGCAUCAUGUGGAGUUCGGGCAGCCAGUGUCAUCCAUGUAGUAGUUUCAUAGGAAAAACUCCCCAAAGCGCACCAUGGCCCAGAGCCAUGUGGUUCGACUCGCCACCGGGAUGUUGUUGUCUGAAGUGAAAAGACAACAUCACUGUGGUGAAGUAAUUUUAUUAUAAACAAAUCAAAAACUAUUGUUAUUCUUCGGAAAGCAUACAGGAGUACAUAGACAUUAAAAUGUACUUUUACAAAAGGUAUCUACCAAAAUAUUGUAAAUAAAUAAAUUNNNNNNNNNNNNNNNNNNNNNNNNNNNNNNNNNNNNNNNNNNNNNNNNNNNNNNNNNNNNNNNNNNNNNNNNNNNNNNNNNNNNNNNNNNNNNNNNNNNNNNNNNNNNNNNNNNNNNNNNNNNNNNNNNNNNNNNNNNNNNNNNNNNNNNNNNNNNNNNNNNNNNNNNNNNNNNNNNNNNNNNNNNNNNNNNNNNNNNNNNNNNNNNNNNNNNNNNNNNNNNNNNNNNNNNNNNNNNNNNNNNNNNNNNNNNNNNNNNNNNNNNNNNNNNNNNNNNNNNNNNNNNNNNNNNNNNNNNNNNNNNNNNNNNNNNNNNNNNNNNNNNNNNNNNNNNNNNNNNNNNNNNNNNNNNNNNNNNNNNNNNNNNNNNNNNNNNNNNNNNNNNNNNNNNNNNNNNNNNNNNNNNNNNNNNNNNNNNNNNNUUUAUCAGAUUCCUGCCGAACUUGAAGUUCUAAACAUAUAAAAAUCAAACAUACAUAAUUAUAUGUGAAAAUUAUAAGCAUGUUGAUGAAAUUUAAUAAGCACUGAGAUUUCGAGGUAUCUGAAUAUAUAUUUGCAAUAUAGUGAAACAAUAAUAUUACGUGUAAUCACAUGCAUGCAAUUUAUUUGGAGUCAUCUAGGCUCAGAUUAAAAACGAAGUUGUAAAUAUGUGUGUUGUCCCAUAAAUUUGGGAAAUGAAACCUUAAACUAACAUUAGUUUCAUGAGUAAUCGUCUCCAUCGAUUCAUUUUCCCAAUCUAUGUGGUAAUGUAAGGCACUUCAUUUGUUUUCAAGAUUUACAACGAAAAGGGAAGCAUUUUCUUUGAGGGUUAAAAUUAGUAGUCUUGUUUUUUUAUCAAACAUAAAUUUUUUUCUAUGGCCGUAUGAUGAGUCUCUACUUUAAUCUAAACAUAUAGAUCAUGCAAAUUUAAUUUGGGAAGAAAUUAAUUUACUUAUCAGUAGAAUGACAAUUAAGCGAACCAACUUGUGGUUGGAUGGUUAGGUGGACAAUGGUAUCCAUCACCAGGGUUCAAGUCCUGGUGCUUGUAUUUAUCCUGGAUUUAUUUUAGGAUUUUCGGUGAUGCGCGUUCAGUGGGAGGAGACAUUCCCGUUGACUAUGAGGCGCCUACGGUGACUUUGUAAAAUCUCAAUAUAAUAUGCCCUCAGUCUCUCGGAAGUGCUCAUAUGGAUAGGGCGUGCGUGUGUGCGUUCAUAGGGCAAAAAAAGAAGAUGGAACUACAAUCUUCAUUAGAGUAAAAAUGGGUAUAUCUAGCUUGAUGUAUGGAAUUUGCCCAAUAAUGUGACCGUUUACUAGGAUGAGAUGGUGCAUCCUAUUUUGAAUUUUCUGAACGCUAAAAGAUACGUGAGGACAACAUCUCACCAGAGUGCGCGCGGUAUAACGAUGCGGGAUGCAUCCUAGUGCAUGCGAACCCUGCAGAUCUCACUCGCACACUUGAUCAAAUUAGCUGUCUCCAAGGAGAUCCUAGUCACAGCUAUUUCUAGCCACAAGCUCACGGCGAUAACAUUUCCUGGCUCAGGACGUGCCAAGUGUUCUGAGAACAACAGAUUUCUGCAGCACCAAUGGUAUCGAAGCUCCAGAUUUUUCUCCCUAUCCAUCUUUAUCUUGUCAGCUUACACACAAAAAUCGAUGCCUUAAGUAGCCUCUCCCCCUCUCAUAUCAAGGCAUCUCCACACUCACUCAUCUCUUGGAGAAUCAAUACAGCAGACACUUUUAUCAGCCUUCCAAUGGCGACCACCACCAUGUCCCUCUCCUCCUCAACCUUUGCCGGCAAGGCGGUGAAGAACGUGUCGUCAUCGGCUCUCUUCCGCGAGGCCCGCGUCACCAUGCGCAAGACUGCAGCGAAGGCGAAGCAGGUUUCCUCUGGCAGCCCAUGGUACGGUGCCGACCGUGUGUUGUACCUCGGCCCACUCUCUGGUGAGCCCCCAAGCUACCUCACCGGUGAGUUCCCUGGCGAUUAUGGUUGGGAUACUGCUGGACUUUCGGCUGACCCGGAGACCUUCUCCAAGAACCGGGAGCUGGAGGAGAUCCACUGUCGUUGGGCCAUGCUUGGGGCACUUGGUUGUGUCUUCCCUGAGUUGCUCGCCCGCAAUGGCGUCAAGUUUGGCGAGGCCGUUUGGUUCAAGGCCGGCUCCCAGAUCUUUAGUGAGGGUGGUCUUGACUACCUCGGCAAUCCCAGCCUUGUGCACGCGCAAAGCAUCCUAGCUAUUUGGGCAUGCCAAGUCGUGCUCAUGGGUGCGGUCGAGGGGUACCGCGUUGCCGGCGGCCCACUUGGCGAGAUCGUCGACCCACUAUACCCAGGAGGCAGCUUCGACCCUCUCGGCCUAGCCGACGAUCCCGAGGCAUUCGUCGAGCUCAAGGUGAAGGAGAUUAAGAAUGGUCGCCUCGCCAUGUUCUCAAUGUUCGGCUUCUUUGUCCAAGCUAUCGUCACGGGCAAGGGACCACUAGAGAACCUCACUGACCACAUCUCUGACCCCGUCAACAACAACGCCUGGGCGUUCGCCACCAACUUUGUCCCCGGCAAGUAAGAUGUCUUGGAGAUUGUGCACGCCAUAAAGUGUGUUGUUGUGCAGUCUGAGUUGUACUACCAUGAUGUAAAUUAUGAGAAUUUGUGCAAAAGCAAUGCAAGGUUUGUCCAGCUUGAAUGUUGUGACUUGCAUCGAUCUGAUCGUUGUGACCACAAUCCACGAGAACAGAUAAAUAUUUCUGCUCGCGCUUAAUUAGUUAUCCAUUAUCAUUAUGUGUGCAGAUCAGCGACGCCUCAUAUGAUUGUGUAGGCUGGUCACGCUGGUGCAUUUGCGGGGUCGGAGCAAAGGAAACGCUAAUAUACAUUUUCAUAGAAGCUUCCAUCAAUACAACAAUGAGGAAGGAUCUCAAUUCAAUUGCAAGGGGCAUGGUUUUCUUUCAUUUAUUAAUUUUCGACAAAAGCAGUGUGGCCAAUUAUACCGCAUUAGUGAUUUUUCAUAUCUCGCUUCCAGCCCAACCAAGUGAUUCAGCUUACCGGUGUGGUCUAAAGUGAGAAGGCACUGUGUAACGGUCGGAAAUUGUCGAUUUAGUCGAGGAUUGGGGUGCGAGAGGCGGUGUCACCGAUGCUGAUAUUGUGGUGGAUGGCAAAGAAUUGGAGGCGGAGAUGGGUGGGCGUCCACAUACACUAGUAGAAAACAGGGCUACCGUUCGCUGCUGGCCAGCCCAUUAGUCCCGGUUCUUCAAGAACCAGGACCAAUGGGGGGUAUUAGACCCGGUUCAUGAGCCCAGGGGGGCCGGCCGGGGCCUCGUGGGCAUUGGUCCCGGUUCGUAUAGAACCAUUUGUCUCGGUUCGAGCCACGAACCGAGACCAAUGGUCCUCGCUGCUGGCCCACAACCAUUGGUCCCGGUUCAUGGCAUGAAUCGGAACAGAAGGGGUGGCUUUAGUCCCGGUUCAUGCCACGAACCGGGACAAAUAACUUGCCUAUAUAUACCCACCGCCGUGGCAGAGCACUCCACAGUGCUCUGUUUUUUCAAUCCGGCGAGGAGAGGGCAUUUGGGUGCUCUAGUUCACCUCCUAUGCACAUGAGGUGUUCGAUGAAAUGCCCGAGCCACACUAGUUAAGCUUUCUCCUCUCGAAGCUCGACCUAGGAGCUCCAUUUUUUUCGAGAUUUGUCUAGAUUUAGGGUUCCGUCACGCCCCAUCCCCGUUUUCACCGUCGUUGAUCGCCCGCGCCGAUCUCGUCGGCGGCACCACCGUGGUGAGCCUCUUGUUCUUAUCUUCUUUAUGAUACUUGUCUGAUUUUCUUACUUUAGAUAGAUAUUUGUCUGAUUUUCUUAGUUUUGACACACAUAAUUGUAUGUAAUGCAUGCAGAUGAACCGGCAAUGGAUGUAUGGUGAGAGACACACCUCCAAGUACAUUAAGGGUGUGCAUAUUUUUCUCGAAGUGGCUGAGGCAAACAAGCAAAAUGGUUUUAUGUGUUGUCCAUGCAGUAAAUGUGGGAAUACGAAGUCUUACUCUGACCGGAAAAUCCUUCACACCCACCUGCUUUACAAGGGUUUCAUGCCACACUAUAAUGUUUGGACGAGGCACAAAGAAAUAGGGGUUAUGAUGGAAGACGGCGAAGAAGAAGAGGACGAUGACAACUAUGUGCCCCCUGAAUACGGUGAUGCUGCAACGGGGGGAGCUGCUGAAGAUCAAGAGGAACCAGACGAUGUGCCCGAUGAUGCUGCAACGGGGGAAGCUGCUGAAGAUCAAGAGAAACCAGAUGAUGUGCCUGAUGAUGAUCUCCGCCGGUCAUUGUCGAUGCAAGGACGCAAUGUGAAAGUCAAAAGGAGAAGCUGAAGUUCGAUCGCAUGUUAGAGGAUCACAAAAAAAAGUUGUACCCCAAUUGUGAAGAUGGCAACACAAAGUUGGGUACCGUACUAGAAUUGCUGCAGUGGAAGGCAGAUAAUGUUGUGCCUGACAAAGGAUUUGAGAAGCUACUGAAAAUAUUGAAGAAGAAGCUUCCAAAGGAUAAUGAAUUGCCCGACAGUACGUACGCAGCAAAGAAGGUAGUAUGCCCUCUAGGAUUGGAGGUGCAGAGGAUACAUGCAUGCCCUAAUGACUGUAUCCUCUACCGCGAUGCAUACGAGGAUUUGAACGCAUGCCCGGUAUGCGGUGCAUUGCAGUAUAAGAUCAGACGAGAUGACCCUGGUGAUGUUGACAGCGAGCCCCGCAGGAAGAGAGUUCCUGCGAAGGUGAUGUGGUAUGCUCCUAUAAUACCACGGUUGAAGCGACUGUUCAGAAACAAAGAGCAUGCCAAGUUGAUGCGAUGGCACAGUGAGGACCGUAAGAAAGACGGGAAGUUAAGACCACCCGCUGACGGGUUGCAGUGGAGAAAAAUCGAGAGAGAGUACUGGGAUGAGUUUGCACGUGACCCAAGGAACGUAUGGUUUGGUUUAAGCGCGGAAGCCAUUAAUCCUUUCGGGGAGCACAGCAUCAAUCACAGCACCUGGCCCGUGACUCUGUAUGUAUAACCUUCCUCCUUGGAUGUGCAUGAAGCGGAAGUUCAUUAUGAUGCCAGUUCUCAUCCAAGGCCCUAAGCAACCCGGCAACGACAUUGAUGUUUACCUAAGGCCAUUAGUUGAAGAACUUUUACAGCUGUGGAAUGGAAACGGUGUACAUGCAUGGGAUGAGCACAAAUAGGAGGAAUUUAACCUGCACGCAUUGCUGUUUGUAACCAUCAACGAUUGGCCCGCUCUCGGUAACCUUUCAGGACAGACAAACAAGGGAUACCACGCAUACACGCACUGUUUAGCUGACACCGAAAGUAUAUACCUGGGAAGCUGCAGGAAGAAUGUGUACCUGGGCCAUCGUUGAUUUCUUCCGACCAACCAUCAAUGUCAAAAGAAAGGCAAGCAUUUCAAAGGCGAGGCAGAUCACCGGAAGAAGCCCACCAUGCGUACCGGUGAUCACGUACUUGCUAUGGUCAAUGAUUUACACGUAAUCUUUGGAAAGAGUCCCGACGGACUAGCUGUUCCGAGUGACGCUGGGGGACACGCACCCAUGUGGAAGAAGAAAUCUAUAUUUUGGGACCUACCCUACUGGAAAGACCUAGAGUUCCGCUCUUUGAUCGACGUGAUGCACGUGACGAAGAACCUUUGCGUCAACCUGCUAGGCUUCUUGGGUGUGUAUGAGAAGACAAAAGAUACAGCUGAGGCAUGGGAGGACCUGCAAUGUUUGCACGAAAAAGAUGGCAUGCCUCCAAAGCAGUAUGAAGGUCCUGCCAGCUACGCUCUUACCAAAGAAGAGAAGAAAAUCUUCUUUGAAUGCCUGCUUAGUAUGAAGGUCCCGACUGGCUUCUCGUCGAAUAUAAAGGGAAUAAUAAAUAUGGCAGAGAAAAAGUUUCAGAACCUAAAGUCUCAUGACUGCCACGUGAUUAUGACACAACUGCUUCCGGUUGCAUUGAGGGGGCUUCUACCGGAAAACGUCCGAUUAGCCAUUGUGAAGCUAUGUGCAUUCCUCAAUGCAAUCUCUUAGAAGGUGAUCGAUCCAGAAAUCAUACCAACGCUAAGGAGUGAUGUGGUGCAAUGUCUUGUCAGUUUCGAGCUGGUGUUCCCACCAUCCUUCUUCAAUAUCAUGACGCACGUCCUAGUUCAUCUAGUUGACGAGAUUGUCAUUUUGGGCCCCAUAUUUCUACACAAUAUGUACCCCUUUGAGAGGUUCAUGGGAGUCCUAAAGAAAUACGUCCGUAACCACACUAGGCCAGAAGGAAGCAUCUCCAUGGGCCAUCAAACAGAGGAUGUCAUUGGGUUUUGUGUUGACUUCAUUCCUGACCUUAAGAAGAUAGGUCUCUCUAAAUCGCGGUAUGAGGGGAGACUGACUGGAAAAGGCACGCUUGGAGGGGAGACAAUAAUAUGCAGGGACGGAUAUUCUUGGUCUCAAGCACACUGCACAGUUCUACAGAACUCUACCUUAGUGACCCCUUAUGUCGAUGAACACAAGAACAGUCUGCGCUCCAAACACCCGGAGCAGUGCGACAACUGGAUUACAUGUGAACACAUCAGGACUUUCAGCAGUUGGUUCGAAAUACGUCUCAGAGAUGAAAACACUGUUUGUGAUGAGCUGUACUCGUUGUCCAGGGGACCAUCUUCGACUGUUAUGAUUUGGAAAGGAUACGAGAUAAAUGGGAAUACAUUUUACACGAUCGCCCAAGAUCAAAAGAGCACCAACAAAAACAGCGGUGUCCGCUUUGAUGCAGCCACCGAGAGGGGAAAGGACACAUAUGUUGGAAAUAUGCCCUAGAGGCAAUAAUAAAAGGAUUAUUAUUAUAUUUCCUUGUUCAUGAUAAUUGUCUAUUAUUCAUGCUAUAAUUGUGUUAUCCGAAAAUCGUAAUACAUGUGUGAAUACAUAGACCACAACAUGUCCCUAGUAAGCCUCUAGUUGACUAGCUCUUUGAUCAAUUGAUAGUCAUGGUUUCCUGACUAUGGACAUUGGAUGUCAUUGAUAACGGGAUCACAUCAUUGGGAGAAUGAUGUGAUGGACAAGACCCAAUCGUAAGCAUAGCACAAGAUCGUGUAGUUUGUUUGCUAGAGCUUUUCCAAUGUCAAGUAUCUUUUCCUUAGACCAUGAGAUCGUGUAACUCCCGGAUACCGUAGGAGUGCUUUGGGUGUACCAAACGUCACAACGUAACUGGGUGACUAUAAAGGUAUACUACGGGUAUCCCCGGAAGUAUCUGUUGGGUUGACACGGAUCGAGACUAGGAUUUGUCACUCCGUAUGACGGAGAGGUAUCUCUGGGCCCACUCGGUAAUGCAUCAUCAUAAUGAGCUCAAUGUGACCAAGUGUUUGGUCACAGGAUCAUGCAUUACGGUACGAGUAAAGUGACUUGCCGGUAACGAGAUUGAAUGAGGUAUUGGGAUACCGACGAUCGAAUCUCGGGCAAGUAACGUACCGAUUGACAAAGGGAAUUGUAUACGGGAUUACUUGAAUCCUCGACAUCGUGGUUCAUCCGAUGAGAUCAUCGUGGAACAUGUGGGAGCCAACAUGGGUAUCCAGAUCCCGCUGUUGGUUAUUGGCCGGAGAGCUGUCUCGGUCAUGUCUACGUGAUUCCCGAACUCGUAGGGUCUACACACUUAAGGUUCGGUGACACUAGGGUUGUAGAGAUAUUAGUAUGCGGUAACUUGAAAGCUGUUCGGAGUCCCGGAUGAGAUCCCGGAUGUCACGAGGAGUUCAGGAAUGGUCCAGAGGUGAAGAAUUGUAUAUAGGAAGUCCAGUUUCGGCCAUCGGGAAAGUUUCGAGGGUCACCGGUAUUGUACCGGGACCAGCGUAAGGGUCUCGGGGGUCCAAGGGGUAGGCCCACCUAUCCCGGAGGGCCCCGUGGGCUGAAGAGGGAAGGGAACCAGCCCCUGGUGGGCUGGUGCGCCCCCCUUGGGCCUCCCCUACGCCUAGGGUUGGAAACCCUAGGGGUGGGGGGCGCUCCACUUGACUUGGGGGGCAAGUGCCCCUCCCCUAGCCCCCCCCCUUGAGAUGGGAUCUCUAGGGGCCGGCGCACCCCCUAGGCCCCCUAUAUAAAUAGGGGGGAGGGAGGGCAGCCGCACCCUAGUCCAUGGCGCCUCCCUCUCCCCCUAUACCACCUCUCCCUCUCGCUGAGCUUGGCGAAGCCCUGCCGAGAUCACUGCUGCUUCCACCACCACGCUGUCGUGCUACUGGAUCUCCAUCAACCUCUCCUUCCCCCUUGCUGGAUCAAGAAGGAGGAGACGUCUUCCCCAACCGUACGUGUGUUGAACGCGGAGGUGAUGUCCGUUCAGCACUAGGAUCUUCGGUAAUUUGGAUCACGACGAGUACGACUCCCUCAAACCCGUUCUCUUGAAUGCUUUCGCUCACGAUCUACAAGGGUAUGUAGAUGCACUCCUCUCUCUUGUUGCUAGAUGGCUCCAUAGAUUGAUCUUGGUGAAGCGUAGAAAAUUUUGAUUUUCUGCAACGUUCCCCAACAGUGGCAUCAUGAGCUAGGUCUAUGCAUAGUUUCUUUGCACAAGUAGAACACAAAUUUGUUGUGGGCGUAGAUGUUGUCAAUUUUCUUGCCACUACUAGUCUUAUCUUGUUUCGGCGGCAUUGUGGGAUGAAGCGGCCCGGACCGACCUUACAUGUACGCUUACGUGAGACAGGUUCCACCGACUGACAUGCACUAGUUGCAUAAGGUGGCUAGCGGGUGUCUGUCUCUCCCAUUUUAGUUGGAUCGGAUUCGAUGAAAAGGGUCCUUAUGAAGGGUAAAUAGAAAUUGGCAUAUCACGUUGUGGCUUUUUAUGUAGGUAAGAAACUUUCUUGCUAGAACCCUAUUGCAGCCAUGUAAAAACAUGCAACAACAAUUAGAGGACGUCUAACUUGUUUUUGCAGCAUAUGCCUUGUGAUGUGAUAUGGCCAAAAGGUUGUGAUGAAUGAUAUAUAUGUGAUGUAUGAGAUCACGUUCUUGUAAUAGGAAUCACGACUUGCAUGUCGAUGAGUAUGACAACCGGCAGGAGCCAUAGGAGUUGUCUUAAUUAUUGUAUGACCUGCGUGUCAAUGAAUAAAUGACAUGUAAUUACUUUACUUUAUUGCUAAACCGUUAGCCAUAGUAGUAGAAGUAAUAGUUCGCGAACAACUUCAUGGAGACAUGAUGAUGGAGAUCAUGAUGAUGGAGAUCAUGGUGUCAUGCCGGCGACGAAGAUGAUCAUGGCGCCCCGAAGAUGGAGAUCAAAGGAGCAAUAUGAUAUUGGCCAUAUCAUGUCACUAUUUGAUUGCAUGUGAUGUUUAUCAUGUUUUUGCAUCUUAUUUGCUUAGAACGACGGUAGUAAAUAAGAUGAUCCCUCGUAAUAAUUUCAAGAAAGUGUUCCCCCUAACUGUGCGCCGUUGCGAAAGUUCGUUGUUUUGAAGCACCACGUGAUGAUCGGGUGUGAUAGAUUCCAACGUCCACAUACAACGGGUGUAAGACAGAUUUACACAUGCAAAACACUUAGAUUGACUUGACGAGCCUAGCAUGUACAGACAUGGCCUCAGAACACAAGAGACCGAAAGGUCAAACAUGAGUCGUAUGGAAGAUACGAUCAACAUGGAGAUGUUCACCGAUGAUGACUAGUCCGUCUCACGUGAUGAUCGGACACGGUCUAGUUGAGUCGGAUCAUGUAUCACUUAGAUGACUAGAGGGAUGUCUAAUCUGAGUGGGAGUUCAUUAAAUAAUUUGAUUAUAUGAACUUAAUUAUUAUGAACUUAGUCUAAAAACCUUUGCAAAAUGUCUUGUAGAUCAAAUGGCCAACGCUCAUGUCAACCUCAACUUCAACGCGUUCCUAGAGAAAACCAAGCUGAAAGAUGAUGGCAGCAACUAUACGGACUGGGUCCGGAACCUGAGGAUCGUCCUCAUAACUGCCAAGAAAGCAUAUUCCUAGAAGCACCGCUAGGUGAAGCACCCAUCCCAGAGAACCAAGACGUUAUGAACACUUGGCAGUCACGUGCUGAUGAUUACUCCCUCGUUCAGUGUGGCAUGCUUUACAGCUUAGAACUGGGGCUCCAAAGUGUUUUGAGCAACACGGAGCAUAUGAGAUGUUCGAAGAGCUGAAAAUGGUUUUCCAAGCUCAUGCCUAGGUCGAGAGAUAUGAAGUCUCCGACAAGUUCUACAGUUGUAAGAUGGAGGAAAAUAGUUCUGUCACUGAGCACAUAUUCAAAAUGUCUGGGUUGCACAACCGCUUGUCCCAGCUGGACAUUAACCUCCUGGACGAGCCGGUCAUUGACAGAAUCCUUCAGUCGCUCCCACCUAGCUACAAGAGCUUUGUGAUGAACUAUAAUAUGCAGGGGAUGGUGAAAACCAUUCCUGAAGUAUUUUUAAUGUUGAAAUCAGUGGAGGUGGAAAUCAAAAAGGAACAUCAAGUGUUGAUGGUCAAUAAAACCACUAGUUUCAAGAAAGGCAAGGGUAAAAAGAACUUCAAGUAAGACGGCAAGGGAGUUGCCGCGCCCGGUAAGCCAGUUGCCGGGAAGAAGCCAGAGAAUGGACCCAAGCCUAAGACUGAGUGCUUUUAUUGCAAAGGGAAGGGUCACUCGAAGCGGAACUGCCCCAAGUACUUAGCGGACAAGAAGGCCGGCAACACCAAAGGUAUAUGUGAUAUACAUGUAAUUGAUGUGUACCUUACCAGUACUCGUAGUAGCUCCUUGGUAUUUGAUACCGGUGCGGUUGCUCAUAUUUGUAACUCAAAACAGGAGCUGUGGAAUAAGCGGAGACUGGCGAAGGACGAGGUGACGAUGCGCGUCGGGAAUGGUUCCAAGGUCGAUGUGAUCGCCAUCGGCACGCUACCUCUACAUUUACCUAUGGGAUUAGUUUUAAACCUCAAUAAUUGUUAUUUAGUGCCAGCUUUGAGCAUGAACAUUGUAUCUGGAUCUCGUUUAAUACGAGAUGGGUACUCAUUUAAAUCUGAGAAUAAUGGCUAUUCUAUUUAUAUGAGAGAUAUGUUUUAUGGUCAUGCCCCGCUGGUCAAUGGUUUAUUCUUAAUGAAUCUCGAACGUGAUGUUACACAUAUUCAUAGUGUGAAUACCAAAAGAUGUAAGAUUGAUAAUGAUAGUCCCACAUAUCCGUGGCACUGCCGCCUUGGUCACAUUGGUGUCAAACGCAUGAAGAAGCUCCAUACAAAUGGACUUUUGGAGUCUCUUGAUUUCGAAUCAUUUGACACGUGCGAACCAUGCCUCAUGGGUAAAAUGAUCAAGACUCCGUUCUCCGGAACAAUGGAGCGAGCAACCAACUUAUUGGAAAUUAUACAUACUGAUGUGUGCGGUCCAAUGAGCGUUGAGGCUCGCGGUGGCUAUCGUUAUGUUCUCACCCUCACUGAUGACUUAAGUAGAUAUGGGUAUGUUUACUUGAUGAAACACAAGUAUGAGACCUUUGAAAAGUUCAAAGAAUUUCAGAAUGAGGUAGAGAAUCAACGUGACCGAAAAAUAAAGUUCUUACGAUCAGAUCGUGGAGGAGAAUAUUUAAGUCACGAAUUUGGUACGCACUUAAGGAAAUGUGGAAUCGUUUCACAACUCACGCCGCCUGGAACACCUCAGCGUAACGGUGUGUCCGAACAUCGUAAUCGCACUUUAUUGGAUAUGGUACGGUCUAUGAUGUCUCUUACUAAUUUACCGCUAUCAUUUUGGGGAUACGCUUUAGAGACAGCUACAUUCACUUUAAAUAGGGCACCAUCUAAAUCCGUUGAGACGACACCGUAUGAAUUAUGGCUUGGGAAGAAACCUAAAUUGUCGUUUCUAAAAGUUUGGGGAUGCGAUGCUUAUGUCAAGAAACUUCAACCUGAAAAGCUCGAACCCAAGUCGGAAAAAUGCGUCUUCAUAGGAUACCCUAAGGAAACCAUUGGGUAUACCUUCUACCUUAGAUCCGAAGGCAAGAUCUUUGUUGCCAAGAACGGGUCCUUUCUGGAGAAAGAGUUUCUCUCGAAAGAAGUAAGUGGGAGGAAAGUGGAACUUGAUGAAGUACUACCUCUUGAACCGGUAAGUAGCGCAGCUCAGGAAGAUGUUCUUGUGGUGCCAGCACCGACUGAAGAGGAAGUUAAUGAUGAUGAUCAAGGUACUUCGGAUCAAGUUACUACUGAACUUCGUACGUCCACAAGGACACGUUCCACACCAGAGUGGUAUGGAAACCCUGUCCUGUAAAUCAUGUUGUUAGACAACGGUGAACCUUCGAACUAUGAAGAAGCAAUGGUGGGCCCAGAUUCCAACAAAUGGCUUGAAGCCAUGCAAUCCGAGAUAGGAUCCAUGUAUGAAAACAAAUGUGGACUUUGACAGACUUGCCCGAUGAUCAGCAAGCGAUAGAAAACAAAUGGAUCUUUAAGAAGAAGACGGACGCAGAUGGUAAUGUUACCAUCUAUAAAGCUCGACUUGUCGCUAAGGGUUAUCGGCAAGUUUAAGGGGUUGACUACAAUGAGACUUUCUCUCCCGUAGCGAAGCUGAAGUCCGUCUGAAUCAUGUUAGCAAUUGCCGCAUACUAUGAUUAUGAGAUAUGGCAAAUGGACGUCAAAACGCAUUCCUUAACGGCUAUCUUAAGGAAGAACUAUAUAUGAUGCAGCCGGAAGGUUUUGUCGAUCCUGAGAAUGCUAACAAGGUAUGCAAGCUCCAGCGAUCCAUUUAUGGGUUGGUGCAAGCAUCUCGGAGUUGGAACAUUCGCUUUGAUGAGAUGAUCAAAGCGUUUGGGUUUAUGCAGACUUAUGGAGAAGCCUGCGUUUACAAGAAAGUGAGUGGGAGCUCUGUAGCAUUUCUCAUAUUAUAUGUAGAUGACAUACUUUUGAUGGGAAAUGAUAUUGAACUUUUGGACAGCAUUAAGGCCUACUUGAAUAAGUGUUUUUCAAUGAAGGACCUUGGAGAAGCUGCUUACAUAUUAGGCAUCAAGAUCUAUAGGGAUAGAUUGAGACGCCUCAUAGGUCUUUCACAAAGCACAUACCUUGAUAAGAUAUUGAAGAAGUUCAAUAUGGAUUAGUCUAAGAAGGGGUUCUUGCCUGUAUUGCAAGGUGUGAAAUUGAGCUCGGCUCAAUGCCCGACCAUGGCAGAAGAUAGAGAAAAGAUGAGUGUCAUCCCCUAUGCUUCGGCUAUAGGGUCUAUUAUCUAUGCCAUGCUGUGUACCAGACCUUAUGUAAACCUUGCCGUAAGUUUGGUAGGAAGGUACCAAAGUAAUCCCGGCAUGCAACACUGGACAGCGGUCAAGAAUAUCUUGAAGUACCUGAAAAGGACUAAGGAUAUGUUUCUCGUUUAUGGAGGUGACGAAGAGCUCGUCGUAAAGGGUUAUGUCGACGCUAGCUUCAACACAUAUCUGGAUGACUCUAAGUCACAAAGCGGAUACGUGUAUAUUUUGAAUGGUGGGGCAGUAAGUUGGUGUAGUUGCAAGCAAAGCGUCGUGGCGGGAUCUACAUGUGAAGCGGAGUACAUAUGGCAGCCUCGGAGGCAGCGCAUGAAGCAAUAUGGAUGAAGGAGUUCAUCACCGACCUAGGAGUCAUACCCAAUGCGCCGGGGCCGAUCACUCUCUUCUGUGACAACACUGGAGCUAUUGCCCUUGCCAAGGAGCCCAGGUUUCACAAGAAGGCCAGGCACAUCAAGCGUCGCUUCAACUCCAUUCGUGAAAAUGUUCAAGAUGGAGACAUAGAUAUUUGCAAAGUGCAUACGGAUCUGAGUGUCGCAGAUCCGUUGACUAAACCUCUUCCGCGAGCAAAAAAUGAUCAACACCAGAACUCUAUGGGUGUUCGAUUCAUCACAAUGUAACUAGAUUAUUGACUCUAGUGCAAGUGGGAGACUGUUGGAAAUAUGCCCUAGAGGCAAUAAUAAAAGGAUUAUUAUUAUAUUUCCUUGUUCAUGAUAAUUGUCUAUUAUUCAUGCUAUAAUUGUGUUAUUCGGAAAUCGUAAUACAUGUGUGAAUACAUAGACCACAACAUGUCCCUAGUAAGCCUCUAGUUGACUAGCUUGUUGAUCAAUUGAUAGUCAUGGUUUCCUGACUAUGGACAUUGGAUGUCAUUGAUAACGGGAUCACAUCAUUGGGAGAAUGAUGUGAUUGACAAGACCCAAUCGUAAGCAUAGCACAAGAUCGUGUAGUUCGUUUGCUAGAGAUUUUCCAAUGUCAAGUAUCUUUUCCUUAGACCAUGAGAUCGUGUAACUCCCGGAUACUGUAGGAGUGCUUUGGGUGUACCAAACGUCACAACGUAACUGGGUGACUAUAAAGGUAUACUACGGGUAUCCCGAAAGUAUCUGUUGGGUUGACACGGAUCGAGACUGGGAUUUGUCACUCCGUAUGACGGAGAGGUAUCUCUGGGCCCACUCGGUAAUGCAUCAUCAUAAUGAGCUCAAUGUGACCAAGUGUUUGGUCACGGGAUCAUGCAUUACGGUACGAGUAAAGUGACUUGCCGGUAACGAGAUUGAACGAGGUAUUGGGAUACCGACGAUCGAAUCUCGGGCAAGUAACAUACCGAUUGACAAAGGGAAUUGUAUACGGGAUUACUUGAAUCCUCGACAUCGUGGUUCAUCUGAUGAGAUCAUCGUGGAACAUGUGGGAGCCAACAUGGGUAUCCAGAUCCCGAUGUUGGUUAUUGGCCAGAGAGCUGUCUCGGUCAUGUCUACAUGAUUCCCGAACCCAUAGGGUCUACACACUUAAGGUUCGGUGACGCUAGGGUUGUAGAGAUAUUAGUAUGCGGUAACCCGAAAGUUGUUCGGAGUCCCGGAUGAGAUCCUGAACGCCACGAGGAGUUACAAAUGGUCCGGGGGUGAAGAAUUGUAUAUAGGAAGUCCAGUUUCGGCCACCGGGAAAGUUUCAGGGGUCACCGGUAUUGUACCGGGACCACCGGAAGGGUCUCGGGGGUCCACCGGGUGGGGCCACCUAUCCCGGAGGGCCCCGUGGGCUGAAGAGGGAAGGGAACCAGCCCCUGGCGGGCUGGUGCGCCCCCCUUGGGCCUCCCCUAGGGGUGGGGGCGCCCCAUUUGACUUGGGGGGCAAGUCCCCCCCCCCCUAGCUCCCCCCCUUGAUAUGGGAUCUCUAGGGGCCGAUGCACCCCCUAGGCCCCCUAUAUAAAGAGGGGGGAGGGAGGGCAGCCGCACCCUAGUCCCUGGCGCCUCCCUCUCCCCCCGUACCACCUCUCCCUCUCCUGAGCUUGGCGAAGCCCUGCCGAGAUCACCGCUGCUUCCACCACCACGCCGUCGUGCUGCUGGAUCUCCAUCAACCUAUCCUUCCCCCUUGCUGGAUCAAGAAGGAGGAGACGUCUUCCCCAACCGUACAUGUAUUGAACGCGGUGGUGCUAUCCGUUCAGCACUAGGAUCUUCGGUGAUUUGGAUCACGACGAGUACGACUCCCUCAACCCCGUUCUCUUGAACGCUUCCGCUCGUGAUCUACAAGGGUAUGUAGAUGCACUCCUAUCUCUCGUUGCUAGAUGACUCCAUAGAUUGAUAUAGGUGAAGCGUAGAAAUUUUUUAUUUUCUGCAACGUUCCCCAACAACAUAUUAUGGUUACAUAGUGGACAUAUGGGAACUUGACUACGGAGUAGAUUUUAAGGUCCCUUUGUUUAAGUGCAAAUGGGUCAAUCUGUCAGGAGGCGGGGUACAGGUAGACCCACAGUACGGAAUGACAAUAGUGGAUCUGAACAAUCUUGGGUACACUAACAAACCGUUCGUCCUAGCCAAUGAUGUGGCACAAGUUAUCUAUGUGAAGGACAUGUCUACCAAACCGAGAAAAAGAAAAAAUAAGGAAGCGGAUACAUCAUACGAUGAGCCAAAGCGCCACAUAGUUCUUUCAGGAAAAAAGGGACAUCGUGGGAGUGGAGGGCAAGACAGACAUGUCUGAAGAUUAUGAAAAGUUUCAUGAAAUUCCUCCCUUCAAAGUCAAGGCUGACCCAAGCAUCCUGAUAAAUGAUGAAGAUUAUCCAUGGUUACGACGCAAUAAGGAAAGGACACAAGCGAAGAAAAAGUGAAGAGUUUCUCCACAACUAUUAUGAUGAUACCGUGCCUACUUUCAACCUUUUUGUAGUUCAUUUGAAAUGCAUGUUGCAACAGACAAGUUUUCGUAUGAAAUCCUGAUACUUCGAAAGAGAUUGUCCGUUUUAUACACGAAGUGCAUCCAGUUUUUGCCGUAACCCUCUCAACUUUCUUGUAUAUGUUGUGUGGAUGAAAUGAUGAUACCAUGCCAAAAUAAAAUAGAGGCGCAAUGCUCACCUGCACGUUGCUUAGCUUCAGGCCAACGUGUAGGUGAGCACUGCACUUCUCCCUUCAUCGUCUCUACACUCAGGGCUUAUAAACCGCUGCGAGUGCCUCUUGCUUGGCGAGGUGGGACUAAAAAACAGCUGCAGAAAGAAUCAACUAAAAAACACUUUUACCGGUUCAUGCCACGAGCUGGUACUAAAAGGUGCUCGUGGGGCCCCAGCCUUAAAACUUGUACCAAAUAAAAUGCCUUUCUAACAGCCUUACAACUGGUACUAAAGGAAUCAACUAAAAAGCUUUUAUAAACCUCUAGUAUUAUUGAAACUAAAAUUAUAUAGAAUUUUGUUACAAACUUUAAUAGCAAAAAGAAUUAUCAUAAAAGAAAAUAAAUAAGUAAUUAGAAUUUUGUUGAAAACAUUAAAAGAAAAAAGAAUUAUCAUAAAAGAAAAUAAAUAAGUAAUUAGGAUUUUGUUCAAACAUUAAAAGCAAAAAGANNNNNNNNNNNNNNNNNNNNNNNNNNNNNNNNNNNNNNNNNNNNNNNNNNNNNNNNNNNNNNNNNNNNNNNNNNNNNNNNNNNNNNNNNNNNNNNNNNNNNNNNNNNNNNNNNNNNNNNNNNNNNNNNNNNNNNNNNNNNNNNNNNNNNNNNNNNNNNNNNNNNNNNNNNNNNNNNNNNNNNNNNNNNNNNNNNNGAAUUAUCAUAAAAUAAAAUAAAUAAGUAAUUAGAAUUUUGUUCAAAACAUUAAAAGCAAAAAGAAUUAUCAUAAAAGAAAAUAAAUAUGUAAUUAGAAUUUUGUUACAAACUUUAAUAGCAAAAACAAUUAUUGUAAAAGAAAAUAAAUAAUUAAUUAGAAACAAAAAAGAAAGCAAAAAAACUGGAAUUUUUUUUAAAAAAAGUGCCACCUACAGGGCCACCACGGCCUGCAUACGACUAGAAACCCAUUACUAGGGCCAGGAUGCAGGCCCGCGGUAAGCCCAAUAGGCCCACAAGCACAAAGAGUGAUUUUAGGUCUGUAAGCCUGCAGUAGAGAGGAGCUCGAAGUGGUUGGUUCGGCAGGGCUUAUAAACCACUCCGAGCCCCUCUCGGCUAGCGAGGUGGGACUAAACAUAGCACCGCACCACGUCAGUUCUAGCACACGACCUUUGGUCCCGGUUGGUGCCUCCAACCGGGACCAAAGGCCUCUGCUUCCCACCCUUUGGGCUGCUAAAAAGAGGCCUUUGGUCCCGGUGGGUGCCACCAACCAGGACUAAAUGGGUGUAUUGGUCCCGGUUGGUGCCAUGAACCGGGACCAAUGCUCUGUCUAUAUAAGCAGCACUCGCGAAAAUUUGNNNNNNNNNNNNNNNNNNNNNNNNNNNNNNNNNNNNNNNNNNNNNNNNNNNNNNNNNNNNNNNNNNNNNNNNNNNNNNNNNNNNNNNNNNNNNNNNNNNNNNNNNNNNNNNNNNNNNNNNNNNNNNNNNNNNNNNNNNNNNNNNNNNNNNNNNNNNNNNNNNNNNNNNNNNNNNNNNNNNNNNNNNNNNNNNNNNNNNNNNNNNNNNNNNNNNNNNNNNNNNNNNNNNNNNNNNNNNNNNNNNNNNNNNNNNNNNNNNNNNNNNNNNNNNNNNNNNNNNNNNNNNNNNNNNNNNNNNNNNNNNNNNNNNNNNNNNNNNNNNNNNNNNNNNNNNNNNNNNNNNNNNNNNNNNNNNNNNNNNNNNNNNNNNNNNNNNNNNNNNNNNNNNNNNNNNNNNNNNNNNNNNNNNNNNNNNNNNNNNNNNNNNNNNNNNNNNNNNNNNNNNNNNNNNNNNNNNNNNNNNNNNNNNNNNNNNNNNNNNNNNNNNNNNNNNNNNNNNNNNNNNNNNNNNNNNNNNNNNNNNNNNNNNNNNNNNNNNNNNNNNNNNNNNNNNNNNNNNNNNNNNNNNNNNNNNNNNNNNNNNNNNNNNAAUUAGUUAGAAAAAUAAUAGAACUAUAGUUAAACUAGUUUAUUUUUCGUACGUACUACUUUAUUUUAUUUAUAGUAAGUGCUUCAUAUAUAGUUGAACUAGCUAGUUGAUUUAAUAAACUACUUUAUUUUACUAUAUAUAGAAGUAGUUUGUUUUUAGAAAUUAAGUACUACUUUAUUUAUUUAUAGUAAGUGCUUAGUAGUUGAAUUAGUUGAUUUAAUUAAUAAAAGAAAAAAGUCCAUUUUACUCCCUUGAAUAAAGUGGGUGGUUCACUUUACCCCCUGAUCUUUAUUUCUGUUCCCUUACCCCCCUCAACAAACCCAAACCGGACCAAAAAAAGACCCAGGCUAGUUUCUCUCCCCCAGUGCUGAUGUGGCGCAGUCAACGGCGGUAUUGACCCUAGUGGGUCCCACUUGUUAGAUAAAAGAUUUUACACGGACACCCUUCUCCAAAAAUCUAAAAAGCAAUCAAGCCAUUCCCUCCUCGUCUCUCCUGUCCGGACGUGCCAUGGGUACCAGAGGGCCUGCUUCCCCACCGGAGAAGCAUCAUGCGCGGGCGUCGGAGCAGCAGCCGCCGCUGGAGGGCCGCUGCAGCCGAGCUGCCGCGGGAGCCGGGCACUUGCUUGCGGGCGGGAGCAGCGGUGGUGGCGGGCGCGACGGGCAGGAGCAACAGCGACGCCGGGUGCAAGCAGCGGAGGCGCCAGCCUCGACGGGCGCGAGCACCGGUCGCGCAUGGGUGGGAGCAGCAGCCGCGGAGGGCUUCAUGUUCGUGCGCUGUGAUGACCUGGUCAACGGUGUGCCGCCGGUGCACACUUUGACCCGUCCGCCAUCCCUGCUUCCUGCCGACGAGUCCAGCCUACUGCUCUACUCCAUGGAGUAGGCCUGUACGAGCACAGGCGCCGCUGCCACCUCCAUGGAGGGCAGGCGAGGAGGCAGCCGACGGGACAGGGGUUGAUUGCUUUUUUUCAUUUUUGAAGGAGGAUAUCUUUGUGAAAUUACAGGGACUGUUUUUAAAGGAGGGUAUUUGACAAGUGGGGGCCACUAGGGUCAAUACCGCCGUUGACUGCGCCACAUCAGCACUGGGGGAGAGAAACCAGCCUGGGGGGUUUUGGUCCGGUUCGGGUUUGUUGAGGGGGGUAAGGAACAGAAAUAAAGAUCAGGGGGUAAAGUGAACCACCCACUUUAUUCAGGGGAGUAAAAUGGACUUUUUUCUUAAUAAGACUACUUUAUUUAACUAUAUUUAGAAGUAGUUCCCGCAUCGGCGUCGACGAUGCCUAUCCCGCAUCCUCGUCGUCGUCAACUCGGCGAUGGAGGCCUGCUUGAUCAUGGCCAUGUUCGGGACUGGGCUCCGCCGGGCUGGUAUUGGGAGGUGCUACCUUCCGGGGGACGUACGUUGGUGAGGAGGCAGCCCUUUGUUGACCAGAUCCUUGCUUGGUGGCGGUCGCGUGGGCCAGUGACGGUGUCGAGGCUUCCGGACACCGCGGAGGUGGUACGUCACCGUGUCAGCAAGGAGGACGAGCACGUCUGUCGCUACAUGGUUGCAUUGGAGGGCAGGUUCGACAAUACCUGGCAGGUUCUUGAGGGAUCUUACUAGAGCUAUGAUCAUGUGAUGGUUCCUUAUCUUUGGGUGUCCACCGCCCGCGACGAUACCCGUCGGGCGCUACGGUUCUAGCUGUAUUAAUUAGCGAUGCUAUAUGUAUGAUAGUAUUCGAGGAGUAUUAGUGAUAAUAUUCGACAAUGUACGGACACAAGAGAUGAUGUACUUUUGGUUAUAAUUGAAUGCAUGCUAAUUUGAAUACUACUUUAUUUUACGAUUUGAUUUUGCUUAUUGAAUGCUCAUAUUGGAAAAGUACUCCUACUUUGAAUGCUAAAAUUGAAGAGCACUCUAUGCAGAAAUCUAGGAGCCUCCUCCAUCAUCCACACCGUCGUGGGGGUAGCUUCUCCUUAAUUCCCAUGUGCUAGACAAUUUGGUGUAAUAAUGCACUCGGGAAUGAAAGAAGGAGCUACGUACCAUCACCUAUAGUCAACCCAUAAUUAAUAAUAAUGAUCUAAUUUAGGUUUUUUAGUACAUAUAUUUAAUUGUACAAGUUUAAUAUUUGAAUUAUGAACUUAGGCCGGAAAUGUCGUACUCGGACGACGAAAACCGCCCGGGGGAGUGCGAAUGGUGCCACGACGACCGAGGUAUGUGCGACAGGUUCAUUGAGCUGGACAAAGAUCGAUGCUUCAGCAUUAAGCUCGAGGAGACCUUCGAUGUUCAUACGGUACGCAACGACGACAAUAGUUUUUUUUUCAUAAUUAAGCACGACUUCAACUAUUUUAACAUGUAUUUUUCAUCUUUUCUAAUUCGACUAGCUCAUCCCAUGCUAUGCAAGACGCUAUGUCUUGGAGAGGAUGGGUUUUGAAGACCAUGAAAGUAUGGAAACCAAAAAAAUUCUCCUAAGGACCCAUCAUGGUGUGGAUUUUAAAGUAAAGAUGUACAAUGCUGAGAGUAUAACCCAUUUUGGUUGCAAAAAUUGGGAAGCACUUUGCAAGAUGUAUGGUUUUGAUGAGGGUAUGCUUGUCACCAUGGAUCUUGGUGAUCCUACAAUCGAGCAAGACAAUGUGGACAUUUGGGUCCUUGUGGAUACACCUCCAAUUCUUCCCCAUGUGAGCUUAACAUAGUUAUUAAGUAAUUUAUAUUGUUUAUUUUAAAAUAGUCGAUAGCUUAUUUCCAUUGACAGCUUAUUUUCAUUCUUGAAAGAAUGUGCGGAAGAUGGUAGACAAAACCCACUACACCGAUGGCUCCGAAUUAACUUAUAAGGAGAAAAUUCAUCUGAUCGCAUUUUGUACUGAUCUUGAGAAUUACAAUGUCUACAAUCGAACUCCUCAACAUUAUGGUCAAUACGUGCCACUAGUGCACGUGUUGAACUACGGUAACUACCAUGGAGAUACCCUGGUAAGAUUUUUUACUAUUACGACAUCCGUGCAUCUUUUUGCAUACUUCUAAAACUAGUACAUCAUUGCUAACUACGAAGUUAUUACUAUGUUUUUCAAUAGAUAAUCCCGAAUGAUUGAGUGCCUCAUCUGAUGUAUAUGCACGGUCGCCUUGAUGUUUUGAACAUACAACCAGGUUGUCCUACGAAUCUCAACCGUCCAUACCGGAUUUCUAAAAGAAGUGGAGACAUGACAAUCAAAGAAUGGAAAAAUGUAUGGACAGUCGUAAGGAGCUUCUUGGAAGCAAAAGGAGGCGAAGCGCAAGAAUUGGAGACAGGAUGAUCUCCAUUCUUCAUAAUGGAGAGUCAGGGUCUAUAUUGUUUUAUGGUAUUUUUACCUUAAGGGUGUUUAGGUCCUACCUGAUACUGAUGAUCAUGUGAUAAGAACAAUUAUGUAAGGUUGGGUUCAAGGACUAUGAGGAUGAUGAUCGUAUGACUUGUUAUUAAUAACGAGUAGAAGUUGUAUGAUGAUGCAUGAUUAGUAGGACUUGUCAUUGAAGGAAAUAUGCCCUAGAGGCAAUAAUAAAGUUAUUAUUUAUUUCCUCAUACCAUGAUAAAUGUUUAUUAUUCAUGCUAUAAUUGUAUUAACCGGAAACAUGAUACAUGUGUGAAUACAUAGACAAACUUAAUGUCGCUACUAUGCCUCUACUUGACUAGCUCAUUAAUCGAAGAUGGUUAUGUUGCCUAACCAUAGACAUGUGUUGUCAUUUGAUUAAUGGGAUCACAUCAUUAGGAGAAUGAUGUGAUUGACUUGACCCAUUCUGUUAGCUUAGCACUUGAUCGUUUAGUAUGUUGCUAUUGCUUUCUUCAUGACUUAUACAAAGUUCCUAUAACUAUGAUAUUAUGCAACUCACGUUUACCGGAGGAACACUUUAUGUGCUACCAAACGUCACAACGUAACUGGGUGAUUAUAAAGGAGCUCUAAAGGUGUCUCCAAAGGUACAUGUUGAGUUGGCGUAUUUUGAGAUUAGGUUUUGUCACUCCGAUUGUCGGAGAGGUAUCUCUGGGCUCUCUCGGUAAUGCACAUCACUAUAAGCCUUGCAAGCAAUGUAGCUAAUGAGUUAGUUACGGAAUGAUGCAUUACGUAACAAGUAAAGAGACAUGCCAGUAACGAGAUUGAACUAGGUAUUGGAUACCGACGAUCGAAUCUCGAGCAAGUAACAUACCGAUGACAAAGGGAACAACGUAUGUUGUUAUGCGGUUUGACCGAUAAAGAUCUUCGUAGAAUAUGUAGGAGCCAAUAUGAGCAUCCAGGUUCCGCUAUUGGUUAUUGACCGGAAACUGUUAUAGGUCAUGUCUACAUAGUUCUCGAACCCGUAGGGUCCGCACGCUUAAUGUUACGACGAUAGUUAUAUUAUGAGUUUAUAGUUUUUGAUGUACCGAAGGUUGUUCAGAGUCCCGGAUAUGAUCACAGACAUGACGGGGAGUCUCGAAAUGGUCGAGACAUAAAGAUUGAUAUAUUGGAAGCCUAUAUUUGGAUAUCGAAAUCAUUCCGGGUGAAAUCAGGAUUUUACCGGAGUAUCGGGGGGUUACCGGAACCCCCGGGGGGUUAAUGGGCCUACAUUUGCCCUAAGGGAGAAGAGGAGGGCCGGCCAGGGCAGGCCACGUGCCCCCUCCCCCCCUAGUCCGAAUAGGACAAGGAAGGGGGGGCGGCGCCCCCCUUUCCUCUUUCCCCCUUCCCCCUUCCUUCUCCAACAAGGCAAGAGGGGGGAGUCCUACUCCCGGUGGGAGUAGGACUCCUCCAGGCGCACCCCUAGGGGCCGACCGCACCUCCCCCCUCCCUCCUUUAUAUACAGGGGCAGGGGGGCACCUCAUAACACACAAGUUGAUCUUCGUGAUCGUUCCUUAGCCGUGUGUUGUGCCCCCCUCCACCAUAUUCCACCUCGGUCAUAUCGUAGCGGUGCUUAGGCGAAGCCCUGCGUCGGUAGAACAUCAUCAUCUUCACCACGCCGUCGUGCUGACGGAACUCUUCCCUGACACCCUGCUGGAUCGGAGUCCGGGGAUCGUCAUCGAGCUGAACGUGUGCUGAACUCGGAGGUGCCGUACGUUCGGUACUUGGAUCGGUCGGAUCGUGAAGACGUACGACUACAUCAACCGCGUUGUUAUAAUGCUUCCGCUUUCGGUCUACGAGGGUACAUGGACAACACUCUCCCCUCUCGUUGCUAUGCAUCACCAUGAACUUGCGUGUGCGUAGGAAUUUUUUUGAAAUUACUACGUUCCCCAACAGUGGCAUCCGAGCCCAGGUUUUAUGCGUUGAUGUUAUAUGCACGAGUAGAACACAAGUGAGUUGUGGGCGAUACAAGUCAUACUGCUUACCAGCAUGUCAUACUUUGGUUCGGCGGUAUUAUUGGAUGAAGCGGCCCGGACCGACAUUACGCGUACGCUUACGCGAGACUGGUUCUACCGACGUGCUUUGCACACAGGUGGCUGGCGGGUGUCAGUUUCUCCAACUUUAGUUGAAUUGAGUGUGGCUACGCCCGGUCCUUGAGAAGGUUAAAACAGCACUAGCCUGAUGAACUAUCGUUGUGGUUUUGAUGCGUAGGUAAGAACGGUUCUUGCUCAGCCCAUAGCAGCCACGUAAAACUUGCAACAACAAAGUAGAGGACGUCUAACUUGUUUUUGCGGGGCAUGUUGUGAUGUGAUAUGGUCAAGACGUGAUGCUAUAUUUUAUUGUAUGAGAUGAUCAUGUUUUGUAACCGAAGUUAUCGGCAACUGGCAGGAGCCAUAUGGUUGUCGCUUUAUUGUAUGAAAUGCAAACGCCAUGUAAUUGCUUUACUUUAUCACUAAGCGGUAGCGAUAGUCGUAGAAGCAAUAGAUGUUGAAACGACAACGAUGCUACGAUGGAGAUCAAGCUGUCGUGCCGGUGACGAUGGUGAUCACGACGGUGCUUCGGAGAUGGAGAUCACAAGCACAAGAUGAUGAUGGCCAUAUCAUAUCACUUAUAUUGAUUGCAUGUGAUGUUUAUCCUUUAUGCAUCUUAUCUUGGUUUGAUUGACGGUAGCAUUUUAAGAUGAUCUCUCACUAAUUAUCAAGAAGUGUUCUCCCUGAGUAUGCACCGUUGUGAAAGUUCUUCGUGCUGAGACACCACGUGAUGAUCGGGUGUGAUAGGCUCUACGUUCAAAUACAACGGGUGCAAAAUAGUUGCACACGUGGAAUACUCAGGUUAAACUUGACAAGCCUAGCAUAUACAGAUAUGGCCUCGGAACACGGAGACCGAAAGGUCGAACAUGAAUCAUAUAGUAGAUAUGAUCAGCAUAGUGAUGUUCACCAUUGAAACUAUUCCAUCUCACGUAAUGAGCGAACAUGGUUUAGUAGAUUUGGAUCACGUGAUCACUUAGAUGACUAGAGAGAUGUCUGUCUAAGUGGGAGUUCUUAAGUAAUAUGAUUAAUUGAACUUAAAUUUAUCAUGAACUUAGUACCUGAUAGUAUUUUGCUUGUCUAUGUUUGUUGUAGAUAGAUGGCUCGUGUUGUUGUUCCGUUGAAUUUUAAUGCGUUCCUUGAGAAAGCUAAGUUGAAAGAUGAUGGUAGCAAUUACACGGACUGGGUCCGUAACCUGAGGAUUAUCCUCAUUGCUGCAUAGAAGAAUUACGUCCCGGAAGCACCGCUGGGUGCCAGGCCUGCUGCAGAUGCAACUGACAACGUUAAGAACGUCUGGCAGAGCAAAGCUGAUGACUACUCGAUAGUUCAGUGUGCCAUGCUUUAUGGCUUGGAACCGGGUCUUGAACAACGUCUUGAACAUCAUGGAGCAUAUGAGAUGUUCCAGGAGUUGAAGUUAAUAUUUCAAGCAAAUGCCCGAAUUAAGAGAUAUGAAGUCUCCAAUAAGUUCUAUAGCUGUAAGAUGGAGGAGAAUAGUUCUGUCAGUGAACAUAUACUCAAAAUGUCUGGGUAUAAUAAUCACUUGAUUCAACUGGGAGUUAAUCUUCCUUAUGAUAGUGUCAUUGACAGAAUUCUCCAGUCACUGCCACCAAGCUACAAGAGCUUCGUGAUGAACUAUAAUAUGCAAGGGAUGGACAAGACUAUUCCCGAGCUCUUCGCAAUGCUAAAGGCUGCGGAGGUAGAAAUCAAGAAGGAGCAUCAAGUGUUGAUGGUCAAUAAGACCACUAGUUUUAAGAAAAAGGGCAAACGGAAGAAGAAGGGGAACUUCAAGAAGAACAGCAAACAAGUUGCUUCUCAAGAGAAGAAACCCAAGUCUGGACCUAAGCCUGAGACUGAGUGCUUCUACUGCAAGCAGACUGGACACUGGAAGCGGAACUGCCCCAAGUAUUUGGCGGAUAAGAAGGAUGGCAAAGUGAACAAAAGUAUACGUGAUAUACAUGUUAUUGAUGUGUACCUUACUAAUGCUCGCAGUAGCACCUGGAUAUUUGAUACUAGUUUUGUUGCUAAUAUUUGCAACUCGAAACAGGGACUACGGAUUAAGCGAAGAUUGGCUAAGGACGAGGUGACGAUGCGCGUGGGAGAUGGUUUCAAAGUCGAUGUGAUCGCGGUCGGCACGCUACCUCUACAUCUACCAUCGGGAUUAGUUUUAUACCUAAAUAAUUGUUAUUUGGUGCCAGUAUUAAGCAUGAACAUUAUAUCUGGAUCUUGUUUGAUGCGAGACGGUUAUUCAUUUAAAUCAGAGAAUAAUGGUUGUUCUAUUUAUAUGAGUAAUAUCUUUCAUGGUCGUGCACCCUUGAAGAGUGGUCUAUUUUUAUUGAAUCUCGAUAGUAGUGAUACACAUAUUUUUAAUGUUGAAGCCAAAAAGAUGCAGAGUUGAUAAUGAUAGUGCAACUUAUUUGUGGCACUGCCGUUUAGGUCAUAUCGGUGUAAAGCGCAUGAAGAAACUCCAUACUGAUGGACUUCUGGAAUCACUUGAUUAUGAAUCACUUGGUACUUGCGAACCGUGCCUCAUGGGCAAGAAGACUAAAACGCCGUUCUUCGGAACUAUGGAGCGAGCAACUGAUUUAUUGGAAAUCAUACAUACUGAUGUAUGUGGUCCAAUGAAUAUUGAAGCUCAUGGCGGGUAUCGUUAUUUUCUCACCUUCACAGAUGAUUUAAGCAGAUAUGGGUAUAUCUACUUGAUGAAACACAAGUCUGAAACAUUUGAAAAGUUCAAAGAAUUUCAGAGUGAAGUGGAAAAUCAUCGUAACAAGAAAAUAAAAUUUCUACGAUCUGAUCGUGGAGGAGAAUAUUUGAGUUACUAGUUUGGUUUACAUUUGAAACAAUGCGGAAUAGUUUCGCAACUCAUGCCACCCGGAACACCACAACGAAAUGGUGUGUCCGAACGUCGUAAUCGUACUUUACUCGAUAUGGUGCGAUCUAUGAUGUCUCUUACUGAUUUACCGCUAUCGUUUUGGGGUUAUGCUUUAGAGACGGCCGCAUUCACAUUAAAUAGGGCACCAUCAAAAUCCGUUGAGACAACCCUUGUGAAUUAUGGUUUGGCAAGAAACCAAAGUUGUCAUUUCUUAAAGUUUGGGGUUGCGAUGCUUAUGUGAAGAAACUUCAACCAGAUAAGCUCGAUCCCAAAUCAGAGAAAUGUGUCUUCAUAGGAUACCCAAAAGAGACUAUUGGGUACACCUUCUAUCACAGAUCUGAGAGCAAGAUUUUCAUUUCUAAAUUCGGAUCCUUUCUAGAGAAAGAGUUUCUCACAAAAGAAGUGAGUGGGAGGAAAGUAGAACUUGAUGAGGUAACUGUACCUGAUCCCUUAUUGGAAAGUAGUUCUUCACAAGAACCGGUUCCUGUGACAACUACACCAAUCAGUGAGGAAGCUAAUGAUAUUGAUCAUGAAACUUCAGAUCAAGUUACUACUGAACCUCGUAGGUCUACCAGAAUAAGAUCCGCACCAGAGUGGUACGUCAAUCCUAUUCUGGACGUCAUGUUACUUGACCAUGGCGAACCUACGAACUAUGAGGAAACGAUGAUGAGCCCAGAUUCCGCAAAAUGGCUUGAGGCCAUAAAAUCUGAGAUAGGAUCCAUGUAUGAAAACAAAGUAUGGACUUUGGUUGACUUGCCUGAUGAUCGGCAAGCCAUCGAAAAUAAAUGAAUCUUCAAGAAGAAGACUGACACUGAUGGUAAUGUAACUAUCUACAAAGCUCGACUUGUUGCGAAAGGUUUUCGACAAGUUCAAGGAGUUGACUACGAUGAGACUUUCUCACCUGUAGCGAUGCUUAAGUCUGUCCGAAUCAUGUUAGCAAUUGCCGCAUUUUAUGAUUAUGAAAUUUGGCAAAUGGAUGUCAAAAUUGCAUUCCUAAAUGGAUUUCUGGAAGAAGAGUUGUAUAUGAUGCAACCAGAAGGUUUUGUCAAUCCAAAAGGUGCUAACAAAGUGUUCAAGCUCCAGCGAUCCAUUUAUGGACUGGUGCAAGCAUCUCGGAGUUGGAAUAAACGCUUUGAUAGUGUGAUCAAAGCAUAUGGUUUUAUACAGACUUUUGGAGAAGCCUGUAUUUACAAGAAAGUGAGUGGGAGCUCUGUAGCAUUUCUAAUAUUAUAUGUAGAUGACAUAUUGUUAAUUGGAAAUGAUAUAGAAUUUCUGGAUAGCAUAAAGGGAUACUUGAAUAAAAGUUUUUCAAUGAAAGACCUAGGUGAAGCUGCUUACAUAUUGGGCAUCAAGAUCUAUAGAGAUAGAUCAAGACGCUUAAUUGGACUUUCACAAAGCACAUACCUUGAUAAAGUUUUGAAAAAGUUCAAAAUGGAUCAGGCAAAGAAUUCUUGCCUGUAUUACAAGGUGUGAAGUUGAGUCAGACUCAAUGCCCGACCACAGCAGAAGAUAGAGAGAAAAUGAAAGAUGUUCCCUAUGCUUCAGCCAUAGGCUCUAUCAUGUAUGCAAUGCUGUGUACCAGACCUGAUGUAUGCUUAGCAAUAAGUUUAGCAGGGAGGUACCAAAGUAAUCCAGGAGUGGAUCACUAGACAGCGGUCAAGAAUAUCCUGAAAUACCUGAAAAGGACUAAGGAUAUGUUUCUCGUUUAUGGAUGUGACAAAGAGCUAGUCAUAAAUGGUUACAUCGAUGCAAGCUUUGACACUGAUCCGGACGAUUCUAAAUCGCAAACCGGAUACGUGUUUAUAUUGAACAGUGGAGCUGUUAGUUGGUGCAGUUCUAAACAAAGCGUCAUGGCGGGAUCUACAUGCGAAGCGGAGUACAUAGUUGCUUCGGAAGCAGCAAAUGAAGGAGUCUAGAUGAAGGAGUUCAUUUCCGAUCUAGGUGUCAUACCUAGUGCAUCGGGACCAAUGAAGAUCUUCUGUGACAAUACUGGUGCAAUUGCCUUGGCAAAGGAAUCCAGAUUUCACAAGAGGACCAAGCAUAUCAAAAGACGCUUCAAUUCCAUCCGGGACCAAGUCCAGGUGGGAGACAUAGAGAUUUGCAAGAUACAUAUGGAUCUGAAUGUUGCAGACCCGUUGACUAAGCCUCUUCCACGAGCAAAACAUGAUCAGCACCAAGACUCCAUGGGUGUUAGAAUCAUUACUGUGUAAUCUAGAUUAUUGACUCUAGUGCAAGUGGGAGACUGAAGGAAAUAUGCCCUAGAGGCAAUAAUAAAGUUAUUAUUUAUUUCCUCAUACCAUGAUAAAUGUUUAUUAUUCAUGCUAUAAUGGUAUUAACUGGAAACAUGAUACAUGUGUGAAUACAUAGACAAACUUAAUGUCACUAGUAUGCCUCUACUUGACUAGCUCAUUAAUCGAAGAUGGUUAUGUUUCCUAACCAUAGACAUGUGUUGUCAUUUGAUUAAUGGGAUCACAUCAUUAGGAGAAUGAUGUGAUUGACUUGACCCAUUCCGUUAGCUUAGCACUUGAUCGUUUAGUAUGUUGCUAUUGCUUUCUUCAUGACUUAUACAAAGUUCCUAUAACUAUGAGAUUAUGCAACUCCCGUUUGCCGGAGGAACACUUUGUGUGCUACCAAACGUCACGACGUAACUAGGUGAUUAUAAAGGAGCUCUACAGGUGUCUCCAAAGGUACAUGUUGAGUUGGCAUAUUUCGAGAUUAGGUUUUUUCACUCCGAUUGUCGGAGAGGUAUCGCUGGGCCCUCUCGGUAAUGCACAUCACUACAAGCCUUGCAUGAAAUGUAGCUAAUGAGUUAGUUACGGAGUGAUGCAUUACGUAACGAGUAAAGAGACUUGCCGGUAACGAGAUUGAACUAGGUAUUGGAUACCGACGAUCGAAUCUCGAGCAAGUAACAUACCGAUGACAAAGGGAACAACGUAUGUUGUUAUGCGGUUUGACCGAUAAAGAUCUUCGUAGAAUAUGUAGGAGCCAAUAUGAGCAUCCAGGUUCCGUUAUUGGUUAUUGACCGGAAACUGUUCUAGGUCAUGUCUACAUAGUUCUCGAACCCGUAGGGUCCGCACGCUUAACGUUACGAUGACAGUUAUAUUAUGAGUUUAUAGUUUUUGAUGUACCGAAGGUUGUUCGCAGUCCCGGAUGUGACCACGGACAUGACGAGGAGUCUCGAAAUGGUCGAGACAUAAAGAUUGAUAUAUAGGAAGCCUAUAUUUGGAUAUCGGAAUCAUUCCGGGUGAAAUCGGGAUUUUACCGGAGUACCGGGGGGUUACCGGAACCCCCCCCCCCCGGGGGGGUUAAUGGGCCUACAUGGGCCCUAAGGGAGAAGAGGAGGGCCGGUUAGGGCAGGCCACGCGCCCCUCCCUCCCUAGUCCGAAUAGGACAAGGAAGGGGGCCGCGCCCCCCUUUCCUCUUUCCCCCUUCCCCCUUCCUUCUCCAACAAGGCAAGAGGGGGAGUCCUACUCCCGGUGGGAGUAGGACUCCUCCAGGCGCACCCCUAGGGGCCGGCCGCACCUCCCCCUCCCUCUUUUAUAUACGGGGGCAGGGGGCACCUCAUAACACACAAGUUGAUCUUCGUGAUCGUUCCUUAGCCGUGUGCGGUGCCCCCCCUCCACCAUAUUCCACCUCGGUCAUAUUGUAGCGGUGCUUAGGCGAAGCCCUGCAUCGGUAGAACAUCAUCAUCGUCGCCACGCCGUCGUGCUGACGGAACUCUUCCCCGACACCCUGCUGGAUCGGAGUCCGGGGAUCGUCAUCGAGCUGAACGUGUGCUGAACUCGGAGGUGCCGCACGUUCGGUACUUGGAUCGGUCGGAUCAUGAAGACGUACGACUACAUCAACCGCGUUGUUAUAACGCUUCCGCUUUUGGUCUACGAGGGUACGUGGACAACACUCUCCCCUAUCGUUCUGCUAUGCAUCACCAUGAUCUUGCGUGUGCGUAUGAAUUUUUUUGAAAUUACUAUGUUCCUCAACAGUUAUUAUAUAUGAUGAUGUAUGAUGCGAGCAUGCAUGAGUUAUUAUAUAUCAGCAGGUGAAAUGAACAUAGCAGUAGCGUUGGUAAACCAAGGACGAAGAUAUAAGAGAGGACACUUCUCUCUAUUAGCUAGCUAUAACAACCUAAAAUUAACCCCCAAAACCCCUAAACCAGCCACUUUUUUUUAAAAAAAAAAACCUCAACUCCAGCCAGCUGCUGACACGUGGAAGCCUUUUGGUCCCGGUUUAUGUCACCAACCGGGACCAAAAGCUCCCCUGCCUGGGCUGCCCGCAGCGGUCACGUGGAUGCCCAUCUGUCCCGGUUCGUGUAAGAACCGGGACUAAAGGGGGGAGGCAUUAGUAACGACCUAUUAGUCCCGGUUCUUGAACCGGGACUAAAGGCCCUUACGAACUGGGACAAAUGCCCUGUUUUCUACUAGUGAUAUAGAUCAACACAUUUCUCUAUUUUGUGUCAUUUUAUUAUAAAAUCAAUUGAAAAGUUAUUGUUAUUCUUGUUAAAGCAGAGUAGAUAGACAUUAGAACAUACUUUUAUGCAAAAUAGCUAUUUAAAUAUUGUCAAUAAAUAAAAAAAUCACAAUAUAAUUGUUGUGCAUGAUCAUCACCAAAAAAAAAGAUAGGCUAACCUCUGAAUCAACGGCGUUAGAGAGGUGGGGAGCACGUGCUAAGAUUUUCUUUCUCGAGAGCUUCGACAUAUAUUUGUGCAUCAGAUUCCUGCCCUAAUUUAAGCUAAACAUAUACAAAUCAAGCAUACAUAACUAUAAGUGAAAAUUAUAAGCACGUAGAUGAAUUUGACUCAACAUUGAUGUUUCUAAGUAUGUGAACAUAUAUUGCAAUAUAGUGAAAUAAUUAUAUUAUGUGCGAUCAUACAUGCAAUUUAUAUAGUCAUCCAGGCUCGAAUAAAAACAAAGGUAUAAAAGUGUACAUUAUCGCAGAAAUUUGGGGAAAUAACAACUUAAACUGCACUUGGGUGCAUAUGCACCCGACUGAACAAUAAAAUUGAAAAAGAAAUAGGAAACUAUUUUCAAAAAAGAAAAAAAUGGAUUUUUUAAACGAAGAUUGUUGAAUGCUUUGCCAACAUGAAAAUUUUCGUGGUGAAAAACAUUUGUGGAAGUCUGGAAAACCAUUACAAAAACGAUGUUCCAAAAAGGGCAAUUUUUAAAGCACUUUGGAACACUGAUUUUUUUUCAGACCUCCACGGAUGUUUUUCCAUCAUGAAACUUAUUUGCAUGUUAGCAAAUCAUUAAACAAUGCUUAUCACGAAAAAAACAAUUGUUUUAAAUUUGUUUACUAUUCUUUUCAAAGUUUACUAUUCACCUGGUGUAUGCUCCCAGGAGCAGAGAGAACACCUCCGCUUAAACUAACAUUUCUUUCAUGUAGAAAUAAUCGUAUCCAUCAUUUUUUUUCCUACUUUAUGUGGUAAUGUUACACAUUUUGAAUUUAUUUGUUCAAGAUUUACUACAAAUGGAGGAACUUUUUCUUAAGGUUAAACAAAUAGUCUUGUUUUUUGUUUCCAAACAGAACUUGUUUUAUUUCAGUAGCAGUAUAAUGAGUCUCUAGUUUAUUUAAACUAAAAUAUAUAGAAUAUUCAAAUGUAAAUUGGAAUAAAUUAAUUUAUUUUUCAGUUGAGUGGUAAAUUAAGUUGGACCUACAUUUUCAUUAUGUUAAAAACUGGAUAUAUAUAUAUAUAUAUAUAUAUAUAUAUAUAUAUAUAGCUUUACGUAUGGAAUUUGGCACAAUAAUUUAAUCUUUUUUAAUGCAAUAAUGUAAUCUUUUACCACGAGCAGAUGUUACAUCCUGUUUUGAUUUUCUGAAACUAAAAAGAUACAUGAGGGCAACGGUGCAUGCGAACGGUGUGACGCCGCUCGAUGCUUUCUCGUGCAUGCGAACGUCUCACUCACACGCUUGAUUCAAUCAGCUGUCUCCAACGAAAUCCAGUCACAGCCACUCCUGGCCACAAGUUCACAGCAAUACUAAUUUCUCCUGGCUCUCGCUGCGCCAAGUGUUCUGAGAGCAAGAGAUCUAUGCAGCACCAAUGGCAGCAAAGCUCAAGAUUUUUCCCUCUAUCCUUAUUUAUCUUGUCAGAUUGCACACCAAAUGGAUUUCCUGUGACACCUCCUGCUGCCUUAAGUAGCCACCUCCCCCUCUACUACAAAAUCAUCUCCACACUCACUCAUCUCUUUGAGAACCCAUAUAGCACAUCAGACACUUUUCUUAGCUUUCCAAUGGUGGCAGCCACCAUGUCCCUCUCCUCCUCGACCUUUGCCGGCAAGGCGGUGAAGAAUGUACAAUCUUUGGCUCUCUUUGGCGAGGCCCGAGUCACCAUGCGCAAGACCGCAGCGAAGGCGAAGCAGGUUUCCUCGGGCAGCCCAUGGUACGGUGCUGACCGUGUGCUUUACCUCGGCCCACUCUCCGGUGAGCCCCCGAGCUACCUGACAGGUGAGUUCCCAGGUGACUAUGGGUGGGACACAGCCGGACUUUCGGCUGACCCCGAGACCUUCUCCAAGAACCGAGAGUUGGAGGUGAUCCACUGUCGUUGGGCCAUGCUUGGGGCACUUGGUUGUGUCUUCCCUGAGUUGCUCGCUCGCAACGGUGUCAAGUUCGGCGAGGCUGUUUGGUUCAAGGCCGGCUCCCAGAUCUUUAGUGAGGGUGGUCUCGACUACCUCGGCAACCCCAGCCUUGUGCACGCGCAAAGCAUCCUAGCUAUUUGGGCAUGUCAGGUCGUGCUCAUGGGUGCUGUCGAGGGGUACCGCGUUGCCGGUGGCCCACUCGGCGAGAUAGUCGACCCACUAUACCCAGGAGGCAGCUUUGACCCUCUCGGACUCGCCGACGACCCUGAGGCAUUCGUUGAGCUCAAGGUGAAAGAGAUCAAGAACGGUCGCCUCGCCAUGUUCUCAAUGUUCGGCUUCUUUGUCCAAGCUAUCGUUACGGGCAAGGGUCCACUUGAGAACCUUGCUGACCACAUCGCUGACCCCGUCAACAACAACGCAUGGGCGUUCGCCACCAACUUUGUCCCCGGCAAGUAAGAUGUCUCGAAGAUUGUGCAUGCCGCGAAGCGUAUUGUUGUGCAGCCUGAGUUGUACUACCAUGAUGUAAAUUACGAGAAUUUUGUGCAAAAGCAAUGCAAGAUUUUUUCGUCUUGGA